rnacentral:lncRNA from 1 species
UGUGUUUUUCUUUACAGAUAAAUGCAAGGAUCUAGUUGCUACUAUCGGUCGUGAGUGCGAUCUGUUAAAAUGCCAGGGGACCUGCAAAGAUUUGUUUGGAGCGGAACUCAUAGCCUCAUGGUGUCUCAACGCCGUCCCAUACUAUUGGCAUUGUUGGUGUCGUGUCUGUUGGUAGAGUUGCACUGAACAAUCAUGUCGAAAUGGACAAAUGAUGUGAUCCAAUAAUAAAAUCUUCCUGUGACAUGCAUCUAAGAAUACAUAAUGAUUGCCAAAUCUAGGUGUUCUAUUCGAUUUUGUCAUGUGUGAUAUUUGAUCUCAUAAUUUUUGGUUUGCAUGGCCUCGUGAUUUAUAAGUUAACAAACAACCUUAUACGACAUGAAUGAACCGACCUAACUAUACCGGCAGUCCCAUUUCUGAUGGGCCUAGAACACAAGGAAGUAGUAUAUAUUUCUUUAGUCAGUGAGUAUGUUUAGUGGUAGAAACUUGUAGGAUUAGAUAUCGACCAAAGGAAUGUCCUAAAAAAAGAUAUCGGCCAGAGGUGGUGAAUGUGUGAAUUGAAUAAUUUUAGCAAUUUCUACAAAACAGAUAGAAGACCAAAGAAAUAGAUUGUUAAAAUUAAAAGGAUAUUGGCGAAUGGAAGAAUAACUUAACAAGAAACUAUACAAGUUAGUAGCAUGCGAGGCAAACUAGUAAGAUACAAGUGCAUAAAUGCCUACUAGCGGCGUUCAAAAAAUGUAUUUAGUGGCACUAGGUGCCGAUGCCGCUAGUGUGAUGGCAGUGGUAAGCUGGUACUACCGGCGUCCACACCCAAGGCCACUUGUAUAUCUCUCAUCUGUGGCGUUUGGUACCCAACGCCACUAACUAACAAAUUAUAAGUACUGCACCAUGGACGGUAGAUGCCAGUAAUAGAAGUCAUGUGCCAUGGAGCUAAUGCUUGCUUUGUCCUGUGGGUCCCAAUGUCAGUAAACAACUACUGCCAGAUAACCCCAGCAUGUUACACUAAUCUACUUAAAACAUUAAUUAAACUAAACAUUACUCAAACAUUAAUAUUAAACUAGUUGGCAUCAACAUUUUACACAGAUUUGAACAACACUAUUGAAAUCACAAAAUUAAAUCUAAUUAAAACUAAAAGGUGCGCCCGGUUCCUCGCAUGCACAUCGUCGUUCGAGAUGGCGACAACGGCCUCAUGGUCGUAGAUGGAGCCUAAGUGCUCCACAUUGGAUGGAGGAGCCGCCGGAGCAGGAGUUGGCUGGCUCAGCUCCUAUAGCAUCUCGUUGGGAGGAAGCGACUUGAAUAUCGCCCGAACCUAAGGAGGUGUGUGCGACAUCCACAGCUCCUUUGCAUUGUGGCAUGUAGGAGGCAGUGGCGGAGGUAGCACUGCUAGGAAAACCCCUAUAGGCAACCACUUAAUAGUGGUGCGGGUUAGUAAGACAGCGCUACUACUACUUAGUAGUAGCACGGGUGAAAACAACGCGCUACCGGUAGAGAAUAGUAGCCGCGCGGGCACAGACAAACUGCGCUACUACUAAGUGCUCCCCACCGUGCCCCUAGCACAGGUCAGUCGCGUGGGCUAUUGAAGACCCACAAGUAUAGGGGAUCAAUAGUAGUCCUUUCGAUAAGUAAGAGUGUCGAACCCAACAACGAGCGAAAGGAAUCAAUAAGUGGUUUUCAGCAAGGUCUGCAAGUGAUGUAAAAUAGUGGUGACAGAUAGUUUGAUAACAAGAUAAUUUGUAGCAACUAACAAGUAAUGAUAGUAACAAGGUGCAACAAGGUGACCUAAUCUUUUUUAUAGCAAAUGACAAGCCGAAAUUGUUUCUUAUAGUGAGCAAAGCGUUCUAGAGGACACAUGCGAAUGUUGUCUAGUUAACUUCAUCAAGAUUCGGACUCGUGUUCACUGUUUUGAUAAGUUAUUAUGUGGGUAGACUGGUGGUAGUGUGCUGUUCUUCACUAGUAGAAAACAGGGCUUCGGUCCAGGCCUAAAAAGCCCAUUAAUCCAUGUUCACUCACGAAGCGGGACCAAUGGGUGCAUCGGUCCUGGUUCGUGAGGCCAGAGCGCCGGCUAGGCCUCGUGGGCCAUUGGUCCCGAUUCGUCUGACCCCAUUGGUCCCGGUUCCAGACAAAAACUGGUAACAAUGGGCCUCGUUCCUAGCCCACAACCAUUGGUCCCGGUUGGUGGCUGGAACCGGGACCAAAUGUGGUCCUUUAGUCCCGGUUCUAGCCACCAACCGGGACUAAAGAGUGGCCUAUAUAUACCCCCCGCCCUGCCUGCGAGCAGAGACAUCGCUCUAUUUUCUUGGCCGGCCGUGGAGAGCUUUGUGGUGCUCUAGCUCACCUCCUAUGCACAUGAGGCAUUCGAUGAAAUGCCCGAACCACACUUAAGCUUUCUCCUCUCGAAGCUCCUUGUUCAAACUCUAUUUUCCUCGAGAUUUGUCUAGGUUUGGUGGUCCACGUCCUGUCUCGUCCCCGUCCUCACCGCCGUCGAUCGCCUGCGCCCAUCUCGUCGCCGGCACCACCGUGGUGAGCCUCUUGUUCUUAUCUUCUUUCUAUAAGAAAAAAGUUCUUACUUGUAUGAUUUAGAUAGAUACUUGUAUAAUUUUCUUACUUUUAUUAUUGUUUGUUAUUAUAUAGUGCGAUGGUUUUGGUAUCCGCCUCCGUCGGCCCUCGUUCUGUCUAUGAUUCGGAUGUGGUAUAUAUUAUCUUUUAUAACUAUUUGUUUCAUUUAGUGUUUAUGACAAUUAUGACGACCAACGUGACAUAGAUUUUUUACCUAGGAGGUAUGUGAACCGGAAAUUCCAACAGACCCUAUUGUCGAGAGGUUAAAUUUAGUUAAAGAAGAAAACAAUUACUUGAAGAAAAAAUUGAAAAAAAAAUAAGGAGGACACGAUUAUAUUGGAUUUGCAUGUUGCGGAUGUCGUUGAUGAUCACAAGAUCAACAUGGAUGCAAUGCGCUUGAAGAUUAGAAAGAUUAGAAAAUAUGUCAUUCAUACUGAGGCUUGGUAUCAUUAUGCCAUUGCAUCAAUUGUUACCUUAGUUACGAUUAUGAUCGCAUUUGUUGUUGCAUUGAAAUGUUUUACAUAGUUUCAAUGUAUGGAUUAAUUAGAUGCUCUAGAGAGCUAUAUGUUGUAUGUACUUUGGUUUUAAUGUGAUGAUGAACUUCUAUUAAUUUGGUCACUUCUAUAUUCAUGAUGUUUUGUAAUCGUUUUGGACACACUUAAUUAUAUAUAAUGCACGCAGAUGAACCGGCAAUGGAUGUACGGUGACAGACGCACCUCCGAGUACAUUAAGGGCGUGCAUAAUUUUCUCAAAGUGGCUGAGGCAAACAAGCAGAAUGGUUUUAUGUGUUGUCCAUGCCCUAUGUGUGGGAAUAUGAAGUCUUACUCCUGACCGGAAAAUCCUUCACACCCACCUACUUUAUAAGGGUUUCAUGCCACACUAUAAUGUUUGGACCAAGCACGAAGAAAUAUGGGUUACGAUGGAAGACAACGAAGAAGAAGAGGAUGAUGACAACUAUGUGCCCCCUGAAUAUGGUGAUGCUGCAACGGGGGAAGCUGAAGAUUAAGAGAAACCUGACGAUGUGCCCGAUAAUGAUCUUCGUCGGGUCAUUGUUGAUGCAAAGGGACAAUGCAAAAGUGUAAAGGAGAAGUUGAAGCUCGAUCGCAUGUUAGAGGAUCACAAAAAAUGGUUGUACCCCAAUUGCGAAGAUGGCAACACAAAGCUCGGUACCAUACUGGAAUUAUUGCAGUGGACGGCAGAGAAUGGUGUACCUGACAAAGGAUUUGAGAAGCUACUGAAAAUAUUGAAGAAGAAGCUUCCAAAUGAUAACGAAUUGCACGACAAUACGUACGCAACAAAGAAGGUUGUAUGCCCUCUAGGAUUGGAGGUGCAGAAGAUACAUGCAUGCCCUAAUGACUGCAUCCUCUACCGCGGUGCGUACGAGGAUUUGAACGCAUUCCCAGUAUGCGGUGCAUUCCGGUAUAAGAUCAGACGAGAGGACUCUGGUGAUGUUGACGGCGAGCGCCCUAGGAAGAGGGUUCCUGCCAAGGUGAUGUGGUAUGCUCCUAUAAUACCACGAUUGAAACGUUUGUUCAGAAACAAAGAGCAUGGCAAUUUGAUGGGAUAGCACAAAGAGGACCGUAAGAAAGACGGGAAGUUGAGAGCGCCCGCUGACGGGUCGCAGUGGAGAAAAAUCGAGAGAAAGUGGGGGGACUUUGCAUGUGACAUAAGGAACGUAUGGCUUGGUUUAAGUGCGGAUGGCAUUAAUCCUUUUGGGGAGUAGAGCAGCAAUCACAGAACCUAGUCUGUGACUCUAUGUAUCUAUAACCUUCCUCCUUGGUUGUGCAUGAAGCGGAAGUUCAUUAUGAUGCCAGUUCACAUCCAAGGCCCUAAGCAACCCGGCAACGACAUUGAUGUGUACCUAAGGCCAUUAGUUAAAGAACUUUUACAUGUGUGGAAUGGAAACGGUACGUGUGUGGGAUGAGCACAAACAAUAGGAAUUUGACCAAUAUGCGUUGCUGUUUGUAACCAUCAAUGAUUGGCCUGCUCUCAGUAACCUUUCAGGACAGACAAACAAGGGAUACCACGCCUGCACGCACUGCUUAGAUGACACCGAAAGUAUAUAUUUGGACAAAUGCGGACGAAUGUGUACCAGGGGCAUCAUCAAUUUCUUUCCACCAACCAUCAAUGUCGAAAGAAAGGCAAGCAUUUCAAAGGCGAGGCAGAUCACCAGAAGAAGCCCGCCAUCCGUACUGGUGAUCCCAUACUUGCUAUGGUCAAUGAUUAACAAGUAAUCUUUGGAAAGGGUCCCGACGGACUAUCUGUUCCGAAUGACGCCAAGGUACGCGCACCCAUGUGGAAGAAGAAAUCUAUAUUUUGGGACCUACCCUAUUGGAAGACCUAAAGGUCCGCUCUGCAAUCGACAUGAUGCACGUGACGAAGAAUCUUUGUGUGAACCUGCUAGACUUCUUGGGUGUGUAUGGGAAGACAAAAGAUACACCGGAUGCACAGGAGGACCAGCAACGUGUGCAUGAAAAAGACGGCAUGCCUCCAAAGCAGUAUGAAGGUCCUGCUAGCUACGCUCUUACCAAAGAAGAGAAGGAAACACUAGUACAGCGAUGUCCUAAACAAAUGAUUUUCAACCCCUUUCCGUGACGGCAUUUAGAACCAUCGCCAAGUGAGUGUGUGCGAUAGGGUGUCCUUUCCACGCGACCCAGAAAAUCGUCGGGGAUAAGCCCUCCAAGGACCCAGGCUGGGGUCAUGUGUGAUCGGGCGAGGCAUCGAAACCCAAUCAUUUCUGUAGGUAUGUACAUCCCACACGGUAAUCCGAGAAAAUCAUUUCCGUAGGUAUGUACAUCCCACGCAGUGAAUCCUAGAAAAUCAUUUCCGUAGGUAUGUACAUCCCACACGGUUAAUCCCAGAAAAUCAUUUCCGUAGGUAUGUACAUCCCACACGGUGAAUCCUAGAAAAACAUUUCCGUAGGUAUGUAUAUCACACACAGUUCUUUGUGUGGAAACGUUUGUGCAAGGUGGCCUAUCGCAAACAGUUCAUUGUCGGAAGCCGUGUGUGAUUGUUAGUUGAUCGAACACGCCUACUUUCUAAAAAUCAUGCGGGUUGUUUGAGUUCAUCGCCCACGGUGUUGUCUGAGUAACCGUUUGCAAUAGAAAACCCCAAUAAGCAGGGUAAUUAGCCUAUUAUUGAUAAUCCAUGUACUAAUCAAACUGAUAUUUCUUAUAAAACACGCCAGAUAUUUCAUAUACGUAUAAAAGCAACCAGGAUUUCAUAAUCAAAUUACAUCAGAUAGCUUCGGCACUCAAUUACGCCAUUACACAACAGCACCAAGUUUUACAUGCAGCAUCAAAAACCUUUGGAAAGUAGCAUCAUACACGGUAAAUAGACAGAUGAAUCGCAUCUGGGAAACUGCAGAAGCGGAAGGAAAAUAUUGAGCCUUCAGUGAUGUUAAAUGUGCUUGCAACUUUAGGCCAGUGACUAUGGAUAAUUGCCCGCCCAACCUUCAUCCUCUUCAGCAAGACUUCAAUAUUGUACCGUGGGUGUUGAAUGAAUAACUUCCUCGCCUCUUGACCAUGCAGGUGGUUUGAGAGGUAAUCAUCGGUGAACUUCUUUGAAAAGUACUAGAAACAAAGCUAUGCAUAAAUAGCUGUUGUAAAUUUUGAAAUGGCGCAAGGGGUAAAAACAAGGUAAAAGAGUUGGUACCAUCCUAUAGUUGACUGAUGUCUUCUUCAUUGUGCAAACAAAGAUCUUGCUGUUAUUCGUCGCAAGUUUCUUCAUCCUAACAAUCUUUCUGAGUUUCUUGACUUGACCGAUAUUCAUGGACAUCUCAUUUCCCAUAUGCAAAAUGGGUCGAACAGUGGGUCUAAGCCUCUCACAGCAGGACCUACAUGUGCAAGACCUAAUUGUAAGAAACCUAAAUAUUAGAAUGAUUCCUGCAACUGCACAAUAAUGUGCUAUUAGCCAAAGGACCCUACUUGAACAAACCUCGAUGGUAAACCGCAGUGUCUCCCAUUGUUUCCCUACAACACACAUAAGGAAGAUCUUGAUCAGGUUAACUGAGAGUUGCCAUACUAUUAGUAGAAAAUAUGUAUUGAGUACAGCCAAAUUCGAUUGGUGUCACAUGCAUAACAAUACAAAAUUGUACCCACAGCAAAUGAAAAUCAAAUUGCAGAACUGAACCAAACAGUUAAAUGGACAGCAGACCAAAUGAACCAAAAUAGUUAACUGGGCACGACAUUGCAGAAUAGAAACAUGUACUAGAAGAUAAGACAGUUAACAAAACAAAGAAUGCUUGAGAACAAUACUACGAAAUGUAGCAAUUGUUGGACCAAAGUGUUAACUGAACAUUACAUUUCAGAGGGCCAAACUAUUAACUAAACAUCAGAUUGCAUAUUAACAUUACAGAGGAAAAAUCACUAGAGGGCACUGGCGGUGGCCUCGAGAAAACAUCACGAACUGUAUUUUAAAGUAGACAACCGCGUGGCGGUGUCGACAGUGGCCUCAAAGAUGACGUGCUCCUCCAAGAUCUGGCGGUGGACACACAUGGCAGCCAUAGCGACCUCGUUCGCGCGUGCGUCCGCAUGCUACUCAGCUCCAUGUUAUACUGCGUGUAAAAUGGUUGUGGGCGGCGCUUAAUUGGAGGUGGGGGCAGUGAUUUUGAUGGAAGGUGUCACUCCGUCAGUCGGGGCAUGUGGGACGGGAAAGGAGGAGCAUGGUGUGGGUGGGGUGUGGAUUACCUGAGCAUAUCGACGAGGCCGCGCAGCAAGAAGAAGGGUCGGCGGCGAGGAGGCCACAUAGCAAGAAGAAGGGUCACCGACAAGGAGGCGGCGCUGCAAGAAGAAGGGUCGCCGACGAGGAGGCGGCGCUGCAAGAAGAAGGGUAGCCGGCGAGGAGGUGGCGUUGUAAGAAGAAGGGUCGCCAGCGAGGAGGCUGAGCUGCCAGUAAGCAGCAAUGAAGGUUUGAACUUGGAAAGUAAGGAGGAACAGUGGAAAUGUGGCUUUUGGUAGGAGGGAGGGGACAGGGAGAUAGAUAUUUCUGUGGUGGAGAAAAAAUUUCGCUCGGUGCCAUGAGAAACUAGCGCAAAAGUGUGGUUCAAGCGGGGGCGGUGGACUGUAGACGAUGAAGCUUCCUGCGUAAGCCAGACAAGACGGUGCCCCAAGAUAUUUUAUAUCGCAUCCCACACAAUUCUUUGUAGUAAAUUGUUUGUGGUAUACCUGAUUUUUUUCAUUAUGUUUUGAAAGACAAAAUGGUGUUAUGGAGGGAAAGGAUGGAGUUUGAAUUGCUAGAACAUUUACGUACAGUGAACAUGCAACUAGUACAUGAGUGUCGUGUUUAAAUUUGGAAUUAUUCCGGGUUCGUUUGGCAUAUUUAUGCAUUAAUUGAGUUUCUGGGCAUUUAAUGUGCAUAAUUCAAAUUUGAACUACAAGCACAUGCUUCAAUGCACCAAAUUAUGUUUACUCUUUUGUCAUGACAGGUGUUGAAACCUGGUGGGCGCGGGUCCGGAGCGUGGUGGGAGGGGUUCUUCUAUUCCACCCGCACCUCUCCGGAGAGCAUUGUUAGACAGUUUGGGGACACCAGUGGGCGCUUCUUCGUCGGCGUUGUUGCCCACCGGGAGAGGAGGCCAGGGAGGGAAGAAGAGAGGAGGUAGAUCAGGACAUGCCGCGGGAGAGGUAGGCAGGCUCCUACGCCUUCCUUUCCGCCACCCCCAGCUAAGUCACCCGAGCACACAACUGCUAGGGGGGCCGUCUGACGAGGAGGUUACGCGAACUCUGAUCCACGAGCCUCGGGUCGACGGGCCUUUGGCCCAAGACACUUGGGCCCACGUGACUUCGGACCAGGCUAUGUCCCAGGAGACGUCCGGAUGGGGUACCUGGUAGGAUCCGCCUGAGGAGCCAAGUGUCCAUGCUGAUGGUGGUGGGCAUCAGAUUUCUGAUAGCAGCGAGGGCGAGGUGGUUGAGGGGGCCACCAUCUACCAGCGUGGUAGUACAUAGCUCAUGUCCCUGACGGCGACCCAUGAGCAGAGGUGGUUGAUUUGGCCUGCUGGGUAGAAGUAAGAGCAUUUUCUCUUUUUGUACCUUUUGCCAUCAUGUUUCUUCAAAUAUCUAAUGUGUUGGCCUUGUCAUACUACAAGGGUUGGGACCACGCUCAGGAUGUCCGCAGGCACAACCAAGUCCUUGGUGUGAUUUUCCGGCAAAACUUCCCGGGGUUUGUCACGUUGCCUGGUGAGGGCGAGCUUCCAGAGCGGAUUGAGCUGGGAGCACUACUUGGCUGCCCCGGCCCCGCUGUAGGAGAUGAUCGACGGUGUCUUUUGCCACACGAGGGCUGACAUGGUGAUCAGAACGUUUUGGGUAAUUUCUCCUUUAUACAAUUAAAAAUCAUUGAAUAAGCUUAGUUAUUGUACUAAUCAAUGUUGUCUCGUUUGAUUGCAGACCUUCAACAGGUUUAAGGAGGGAUACGAGGAGGCCUGUGCACAGGUUACCGAUGCCGAGUGCAGGCGCCUACUACAAAACUUAUGGCACGAGGCUCAGGUGCAGGCUGUUCAAGACUACUUCGCCUCGCGUGGUGUUAGGAAGCCCAAGAAGAAGUGCCGCAGAAAGUUUCUGAAGAAGGAGCAGUACAUGACAGUAAUGGCCUAUAUUCUUAAGGCCUUGUUCUUAGUUUCAUUGAUUUGAUUCGUAGGCAUAGCGCUCAAGUUUCUCUUUACUAACUUAGGUGCCAUGAGAUGGUGUGCGGAUAAGAUGGGUUGUUGGGAGGCAUUUGUGGAUGAGUGGUGCUCAGACGCAUGGCUAGCCGUCCACAACAAUGCCAAGGACGGCGUGCCCAAAUGAGAGGUGUGCCACACCAUCAAGGCAGCGCCAACUUAUAUCAAUACGGGCGGAACUGGGUAUGUGGUUUGCUUCAUGAUUCAUGCAAUUCAUUCUGUCCUGCUAGCUUGAGCCCUUUAAUUACUAAUACUAUAUGUUCCUCUCUUUUAGGUGGGAUACAAUAUGGCACUGGUGCCGAGGUGUUCGACCUCUAUGCCAUGGCCCAUACUGCCCCGUACAAGAAGGCCAAGGCAUUCUCUGCGUCUGACCUUGAUCAUCCAAAGAACUUCCCCAACAUCUCCUCCCAUAACAAGCUCGUGAGGUACAGAGAUGUGGGGAAGGCGAGGAAAGGGGAGGACUUUAACCCAAGCGGGCUGUUUGAUCCAGAGGUGGUGAUGAUAUUUGGUGGCGGGAGGUCCCAUGGAUCGAUAGCCAUUGGAUAUAGACUUAUAUGUUGUCCUCGCACUCUCCCGGAGAACAAGGCAUGCUAAACGAGCUCAGGUCCUGAGAUAAGGCCUCGUCCACGGCCAAUCAAGCUCGCCUUCAAGGUUAGUUAUGCAGACUCAGAUUUCUUUCAAGCAUUGCAUUGUGUGUGCAGCCAUCGAUGAUUACAAUGCUAACGAGGAGUGGUGUUGCAGGCUGCUCUUGAGAGAGAGAGAGAGAAAUACAACCAAUGCGCUUAUGGUGAAGAGGGGCCAGCAGGCAGCAAAGAAGGAGCGGGACUUGGAGGAGAGGAUGGCUAGGAUGUUGGAGGAGGAGAGGGCACGGAAUGACAUGCGGAACUAGGCCAUGUAUGAGCUCCUCGUGGUAAGUUUCUUCUGCAUAUUAGCCAAAUCAUGCACGUAAUGUCCGUUUCAUUACUAGCUAAUAUGACUGACUCGUCAAAACCAAAUCUGUAAUAUGUGUGCCAGAAAGCGGUCAGACCCCUCCACCGAUGCCAGUCAUUGCUCCGGGAACCACGAUGAGUUUCAUUUGAAUGGUCAUUAGUUACUAGUCUUAACAUUUCCAGUGUCAUCAUGAUAACGAGACAUUGCAAAUGAUCUUUGGUGCAGCGUAACUCUAGACAAGCAUCGCACGAUCCUUCUCCAGAUGGUGUCGGCACGAGCAACCCUGGUGCUUCACCUCCAUGAUGACGGUAAGUUUUCUCUAGUGUUUUGCUUAACAAAUGCAUAAUGACCUAGACUUAGCUUUAUUUCCUCGAAAAUGAUCCAUUUUAGCUAAGUUAGCUCAGCUAUGAUCCAUUUUACCUAAGUUAGCUCAUAAAUGAUCCAUUUUACCUAGGUUAGCUCAUAAAUGAUCCAUUUUACCUAAGUUAGCUCCAAAAUGGUCCGUUUAACCAAGGUUAGCUCCAAAAUGAUCCAUUUUACCCAAGUUAGCUCCAAAAUGAUCCAUUUUACCCAAAUUAGCUCCAAAAUGAUCCAUUGUACCUAGGUUAGCCAAAAAAUGAUCCAUUUUACCCAAGUUAGCUCCAAAAUGAUCCAUUUUACCUAGGUUAGCUCAAAAAUGGCAUAAUUACUUAGGCUAGCACAAAAUGACCUACACUUACCUUGUUUUCCUAUAAAUUGACAUAAUAAGCUUAGCUAGCUUAAAAAAUUUCAUAAUUACCUAUAUAAGCUCUAAAAUGACACAAAUAAGGAAUAAGAAGAAAAACAAGGAACGGGAGAAAAAGAAAGAAUAGAAGAAAAAAUGAAAUAAGAAGAAUGAGAAGGAAAAGGGUAAAAACCCUCUUCUUCUUCUUCUAGUCUUCUUCUUCUUGUUGUUGUUCUAGUCUUCUUCUUCUUCUUCCUCUUCUUCUUCUAGUCUUCUUCGUCUUCUUCUUCUUCUAACUUGCUUACACCCAUUUUUGCAGAUUUGAUUCACUUCAUGGAAGCUGGCAUUGAUGGAAUGCUAGUUUUAGUUUCUGUUUUGAUUUUGUGUUGAUGAACAAUGUAUGUUGAAUAACUCCGUGAAACUAUGUAUGUAUGUUGAUGAACUCCGUGAAACUAUGUAUGUAUUGGACCUUUUAAUACCCUGUGUGUUAUGUUGCAUUGAUGGACUGCUCGAUGUUGGAUACAUGGGCUAUGUUUGAGGUUGAAACUAUAUAUAUCAUUUAUGUCUUUUGAAAAUACAUGGAUAUAACAGAAAGCAGAAAAAAUAGUAACAAUACAGGCUCUUUGCCAUAUGCCACUAACGGCAAAGGGAUCUUUGUCGUCUGCCACAGACGACAAAGAGGACACAUGGCAGCAACCUGUGCAACCUGGGAGCUGACCCAUUUGGUCAAUUUGCCGUUCGUGGCAGACGACAAAGACCUACUGACGUCACAAGGCAGACGACAAAGCCUCCCAUUAGCCACCCAACGUGGCUAAUGGCCGUUUUUUUGACCGUCCACAAUCUUUGCCAUCUUCCACCGACGGUAAAAUGUCUUUGCCGUCCGCUGAGGGAAAGCAGACGACAAAGAAGCUCUUUGCCAGAGUUUACAGCGCCGGACACGUUUGUCUUCCACUGACUAGUCCUUUGCCGUCUGCCAUGGCGGACGGCAAAACAGCUGAUUCCUGUAGUCGAGGAGAACAUUGUAUUGAAGAUCAAAGAGAGGGAAUAAGCCAUCUAGCUACUAGCUAUGGACCCGUAGGUCUGUGGUGAACUACUCACGCAUCAUCGGAACGCAACAAUGAUAAUAUAGAAGCCCUCCAUGAUCGAUUAAUAUUCCCCCUAUGGCAGAGUACCGGAAAAGGCCUCAAGAUGGGAUCGUGGAAUAACAUAAACUUGUGGUGGCAAAAAAAGUGUUUGGGAUGGCUCUUUGUAACAUCCCAAAAUUUCAAUUUGGAAUGUUAUACAUAGAUCAUUCAUGCACAUCAUAUUUUACUGCAUUUCGUUUCGCGAUCCUCGAAAUCCUAAGCAACUCAAGGACCCUCGGAGAGAAUUGGGGAUUUCUCAGUUUUCAUAUUUGAGUUUUAUCAAAUAUUGAAACGAGGAUUUUUGGUUUUAAUUAUUUUUUCUCUUCGAAAAUAUUUCAUAUUAAAAUAUAUGAGAGGAGAUAAUAUGACUUCUCCAAAGUAAAUGAAAUAUUGGAGGAAAAAUAUUAAAAUCAAAUAUUUGAUUUUUAUUCGGAGUUUAUUGCUAUUUUAUUUGAAUUAGAAAAAUUGCACGUUUUUCAAAGUUGCAUUUUAGGGCCAAGAAAAUGUUCAUCUUGUUCUAAAUAUUUUAUUUAGACGGUGAAAAUUUGUUUUGGCAUUUUUAGAUAUUUAUUUUAUUUUCUAGGAUUUAUUUAAGUUCUGGCGAAAUUAUUAUUUUUUAAGUCUCAGCGCCCGACUGGGCCGAAGCCCAGCCGAGCUGGCCUCCUAGCCCCGCGCCGCCGUCUCCUUCCAGGAGACCGGGAGGCUGCCGCCGCCCGCGAUGCCGAGUCCGGCCAGGACUCUGUCGCGCCCCCCUUGCCCCCUCCCCAAGCAAGCACCCCCCCUCCUUUUAUACCCCGCCUCGGAGCCCCCACCACCACCAACCCCGCCGCCUACCCCGNNNNNNNNNNNNNNNNNNNNNNNNNNNNNNNNNNNNNNNNNNNNNNNNNNNNNNNNNNNNNNNNNNNNNNNNNNNNNNNNNNNNNNNNNNNNNNNNNNNNNNNNNNNNNNNNNNNNNNNNNNNNNNNNNNNNNNNNNNNNNNNNNNNNNNNNNNNNNNNNNNNNNNNNNNNNNNNNNNNNNNNNNNNNNNNNNNNNNNNNNNNNNNNNNNNNNNNNNNNNNNNNNNNNNNNNNNNNNNNNNNNNNNNNNNNNNNNNNNNNNNNNNNNNNNNNNNNNNNNNNNNNNNNNNNNNNNNNNNNNNNNNNNNNNNNNNNNNNNNNNNNNNNNNNNNNNNNNNNNNNNNNNNNNNNNNNNNNNNNNNNNNNNNNNNNNNNNNNNNNNNNNNNNNNNNNNNNNNNNNNNNNNNNNNNNCGCCGCACUUCGCCGCCUAGCCGCGCCGCGCCGCCGCCCUUUGCCGCGCGCCGCCACUCGCCGUUGCCGCCUGUCGCCGCCCCGGGCCACCCAUCGCCGCAGCCCCACCUCGCCGAAGCCCAAGCCUCGCCUCGCCAGAUCUCGCCGGAGGUAAAGCCGCCGUCGCCACCGCCGGUUUUUUUAGAAAAGACCGAUCCGAUUUUUUUAGAAAAAAAACCCUAGGUUUUUUUUUUAAAUAGAUCGGUUUAUUUUUUUCUGGUUUAGUUUAAUUAGCGGACGUUCGUCCGUACGUUCGUUUUAACGAAUGGUGUUCACCCGAUAGUCGCAGACAGCGAACAUUCGUUCGUUAGCCUGUUCGUCAGUUUUCUUUUUCUCAGAUUAUCCAUGAUUAUUUUCGACCGCGAUUUCUGAUCCGAUUUUCAUUUUAGUUUAUCUUUUCGCUCAUUAUCGGAAUCAGGCGAUUCAAGCGCCUAGAUCUUCGUCUCAAAACCCUCCUUCUAUUUAACCAACUUGAACAAGAUUUUGAUACUGUAAAAUUUGACUUAGGUCCAGAUUAGUAAACGGAUCUUGUUUCUUUCGCAGUUUGAGUUUGUUACUCUAUUUGAUUUGAUUCUUUUUGCAAACCAGAGUUCUUAAGUUGGACUUUCUGGUUAGAUCUUCUUAUUUGAGUUUUACCCGUGCUUCUUUGCUUGAUUGCUUAUCUAUGCUAUUGUUUGUUUGCGAUAGAACACCAGGAGUGUGAAGCAUGCUACUACGAGUCUUUAGGUUUUGCGGAUCAUCAGCAAGGCAAGUAACACUUUGAUCAUACCUCUUUAUCACCCAGUUUUUAUGCAUUAGCUCCAAUCCUCAAACAUUGCAUGAUUAGGAUGUGAUUAACAUGUGGGUUGGGAAGUAGUUGAUGAGCUAGAACCUAUUGCCCUGUUAUUAUCAAACCCUUGGGAGUUACUUCUACGUAUUGCUUAUAUUGCUAUGCUAUGCUCAUAGACGUGGUUUGGGUGAGUGAAUCCAUGACAGAUGUGAGAUUAUUAAUUAAUGGUUCAACUUAAGGUGGCAACUUAAAUACACAUCUGGGUGGAUUGUUUGUUGGGCACCUGGGGAAUCCAGUGUUGUCCUAGGAUAUCCCGGAGUACCCGUGUGAUAAUCCUAUGGUCCGCCACCCAGGAUCAAAGGGAACUGGGAUAUUUUAUGCUAGAAACUUCCGUGUGCAGCCACAAGCUAUUAUGGUCUCUAGCAUAGUUGAGUAAGUUGUGUGAAGCUCCUGAAGAGGUGGAUCAGCAGGUAGACGGAUGUAGGUUGGUAUGGUCUGCCCGGAGUAAGGAGUUAAUACUUCUGAAAGACUGUGUCUCAGUCAUCCGUUUCUCAAACAUCAUGUAGUGCGAGAAAUCCAAUGGAGGAGAUCGGGUCUUGUGGGAAAAAGUGUGCAAACAUCUGCAGAGUGUAUAAGCUAAUCAUGGUUAGCCGUGUCCCCGGUUAUGAACAAAUCUUGAGUAUCUAGUACUUGGAUUAUCAUAUGUAUCUCAUCACUCUAAAUUAAUGUUGUUGGGUUGAUAAUUACUUUUAAUUGGGAUUGAGUUGGAGGAACCUUCUCAAUGAUGUUUCAACUACCAUGAUAGUUAAAUAAAAUAUAUUCCUUUGUUGUAGGAAAAAAUUGGCUUUUCGCAAAAACACUAUAACCAUAGAGCUUUCCACCAGCCAAAUAUGCAUGUAGUUAUAGCAUUAUUCUGUUCUUGCUCUACUGUGUUACUUUGCCAGCAUAUUCCAUGUGCUGACCCGUUUUUGGGCUGCAACGUAUUAUGUUGCAGACUUUUCAUAUGAGGAGUAAGGUUUGUUAGCUCGUUGCCAUGUAGCUCAGCUAUGUCGUUGGAGUUGAUGGACUCACUUUAUCUUCCAAGCCUUCUGCUGUUAUCGUAUUAGAUGGCCUUAAGCCAUGUUUAUUGUAAUAAGUUCUCUGUUGAGACAUUCGAUGUAAUAAGUGUGUGAUUGCUACUCUGUUAUAAAUCCUCGAGUACUGUGUGUGUCGGCAUUACCGAUCCAGGGCUGACACUGAAGCACAGAGACUUGACCGUUUGAGGUCGGGUCGCUACACUCUUUGUUGGUUUCCUAAUUUUAGAGAAUUUACAGAGAUGGGAUUAGGUCAAACGGAGCCACGUGUGGCCCAUAAGGUAACAGGGCGUGCCUACCCCCCUGGGCGCGCCAUGUUUAUCUUGCCGUCUCGUCCCUUAUCGUCUUCUCUCCUCCCGAAGCUUCUACGGUCUCUUUUGUCCAGAAGAAACUGUCAAAAAGUUUUGUACCGUUUGGUACUGAUUUCCUGGAAAACCAAAAAACAAGCAGAAAACAACAACUAGCACUUGGCACUAGGUUAAUAGGUUAGUCCUAGAAAAUGAUAUAAAAUAGCACAAAAACUUAUAUUAAAUAUCCAAGAUUGAUAAUAUAAUAGCAUGGAACAAUAAAGAAUUAUAGAUACGUUGGAGAUGUAUCACCUUCUCGUGUAUUUAUUGAAGAAAAGAAUGAUAUAUCAAUUAUAAAUAAACAGGUUUAGUAGGGAUGAAUACCAACUAUUUUUAAAUAAACAAUAUAAAUUACUUAACAAAUUUGUGUGACAAACUCACAUGGAGGUAGAAUUGGAAUCAUGUCCACAUCCACCCAAAUGUCGAUAUUAUCUUCAGGACCAAUAUUGAAGGUUAUUUUCAUAUCUUCCUGAAACCCAUAGGCGUUGCAUAGUACUCUCCAAUUUGAAUAUCCAAAAUGUGUGUGAUUUACUGCAUUGUAGAUCUUAACCUAAAAAAUGAAAUCAUGUUUCGUCUUAAGGUGAGCUUUCUUCAUCUCCAAACUCUCCCUAUCUUUGAAAUUGAGCUUCUCUAGGGCAUAAGGUCUUGCAUAGCAGGGGAUGCACUAAUCGAAUUGUAAAAAACAGAAAUUGCACGUUAAAGCAAAAAAGCACAAGUCAUGCUUAAUUACAAAAGAGCACUUGUCGUUGUUACAUACCGUAAAAUGUCCGAAGGUCUCCUUCAGCGUGAGGGUGAAGCACCUAUCGUUUUCCAGGUGAGGCAUGUCGCACAUACCCCCGUCGUUGGGGUAGUAAUUGCAUUAGGGGAUCCUAUUGUCGCUAGACAUUUCCUGUGUUCAUAAUUCAAAGAUUAAAAAUCGACGGCAAAUACCAGGAACUCAACACAUAGAUCACUAUUCGGCACGGGUUAACUUUCGAUCUAUUGAGUCUUCCUUGAAAAACUCUCACCCUCGUGGUGUGUAUGGUGGGCACUCCCUCUCUGAAAUUUUGACUGUCGGUGAAGGUCACUCUUCCCUUCUUUCCCAAGUGCAUUACACAAAAAUGUCUAGCACACGAAAAAGAAGGAGAAGCGACCCCAUGACAAUAGUCGGGACUCUUCCUCUCUGAUAUAUAGACCAUUGGUGAUGGUUGGAUCCCCCUUCCCUCGUGCAUUACCAAGGUCUAUCACGAGGAGAAGAGGAGGAAGCAACCCCUGUCGUGGUUCUAAGUCUGACAGUAGAGUGGGGGGUAGGUAUGAAGAGGCAAGGUCCUAGCUAUGGAGAGGUUGUAAGCACAAAGGAUGUACGAGUUCAGGCCCUUCUCGGAAGAAGUAACAACCCUACGUCUCGGAGCCCGGAGGCGGUCGAGUGGAUUAUGAGUGUAUGAAUUACAAGAUGCCGAACCCUUCUGCCUGUGGAGGGGGGUGGCUUAUAUAGAGUGCGCCAGGACCCCAGCCAGCCCACGUAGGAGAGGGUUUAAGGUGAGUUAAGUCUGGGGCGUUACUGGUAACGCCCCACAUAAAGGCCUUUACUAUCAUAAAGUCUACUUGAUUACAGGCCGUUGCAGUGCAGAGUGCCUCUUGACCUCCUGGUGGUCGAGUGAGUCUUCGUGGUCGAGUCCUUCAGGCCAGUCGAGUGAAUCCUCGUUGGUCGACUGGAAGGCGACCUCUUCUAAGGAUGUCCUGGGGUAAGUUACUUGGAUCAGGUCUAUGACCCUACCCUAGGUACAUAACCCCAUCAUUAGCCCCCGAAUGGAUUGAGGCUUCGAGUGAAGAAGGAGUUGAUGUCGUUUCCGAUUAAUCUUUGUGCUCCGGUUGUGCGCUGUUCUGGACCAAAGAAUCCCUCUGUCGACAGGAAACAACUUGCCUUCAGUCGACUUGAUCCAUUCUGUUUUUGCGUCGAGUGAUCUUUCAGGCUUCGACGAUCUCCGAGCGACGGAUCGCCGGAAACGCCGCGCCUGACAGACUGAUUUGUUGCUCGCGGGUUCCGCGGGAUGCGAAAUUUUGGGGCGCGCGCGAAGCGGGGCGGACCGCGGCGUUCGGAUGGGACGGGGCAUGGACGCCUCGAUCUCCGCGCCGCCUUUUUCGCCACGUAUCCCGUCUGCAUAACUGUUCCAGAUAUGAUUAGAUCGACCGGGCCCACCUGUCACCCACUCGGAAGGGACCUUAUAAAUGAGCCCGGUGAGGAUUUCUGUGCUGCGCCUUAGCAUUCUCCCCCUCUCUCUGCUUCCUUCCUCCCUGCUCAGCGUGCUCGCUCUCGCCCCCGCAUCACUUCCCUUCGCGCAUCUCUCCGGCGACCAUGGCCAAGGAGAAGACGGCGGCGCUGGAGCGUGCCAAGAAGGCGUCGGCGUCGGAGAAGGCGAAGGGGAGAUCCACCAGCCGCGGAGGGUCCUCGUCCAGAUCCCGCCUGCCGAAGGGUUGGAUCCAAGGAGACUGGAUCCAGUCGACCAUCACAGAGAAGGACCUCCUCGACAUGGCCAACGAGGGCUUGAUCCCUCACGGAGCUGCGAGGUUGCCGGGGAAUGAGUGGCAGCCACAGCCAGAAGAGGGUGAGUGUGUGCUUUUGGCCACUCAUGUCGAUCGUGGGUUUUCCUUGCCGCCAAGUAUUUUCUUUCGUGGCUUUUUGAACUUCUUCGGAGCGCAGCUCCACCACUUUACCCCAAACUCCAUUGCCUAUCUUGCUGCGUUCGUGUCCAUGUGCGAGGGUUUCUUGGGCUGUCGACCGCACUGGGGUUUAUUCAAACAUAUAUUCACGUGUCGAUCUCAGACCGUGAAGAAGGCGAGCCCCGGUGAUGAGAGAACCCGAGUCGUCCAAAUGUGCGGGGGCCUGGGGAUUCAGGUGAGGAAUAAGAGCACCUUCCCGCCCAUGACCUUUCCCGAGUCCGUUAGAGGCUGGCAGUGGACUUGGUUCUACUGCCAGGUCCAGUCAACGCCAGGGCAGUCGAGUGGACUCCCCCCGUUCACUAUGGACCGAGUGAGCAAGCCUUCCCCUCUGAAGCUGAUUCCGGAGGAGAGAGCCGACGUGAAGAUGUUGAUGGAGCGCGUGGUGCAGUUGGUUCGGGAGGGAGUGACAGGCAUGGACCUCUUGGAGGUUUUCCUCAGGCGUCGCAUCCAGCCUCUCCAGUUCCGGAGCCACUGCAUGUGGUUGUACUGUGGGACCGAAGACGAGACCAGAGUCCAUCCAGAAGCAGUCGACGAUGUCACUCUGGAAAGAUGGAUGGCGGCCGUCACCGGAAACAAGGACAACCCGCGCGGAGCCAGAAGGAUUCCUCCACUCGACCACAACAGUGAUCCAGAUAAGGUACACUUGCCCUGCUCUCCACUGCGCCCUCGUCGUAUUCAUUUCUGUUAAUCCUGCCGACUGGUCGACUGAUUCUUGUCUGGGCAUUUGUUAGGCCCUCACCGAGAUGUAUUCGAUGCCCAAUGGGGCACAAGCUUCGACUGAGGAGGGCGAGGCGAGCGGAGGCGAGAGCCAGGAAGAGGAGGAAUGGGACUCGGAUGUCGCAGAGGACGAUGACGACGAUGAUGAUGAUGUCAGUGAUGAAGACGACGUCGAGGACGAGGAAGAGGAGGAGGAGGAGGUCGUGCCACCGCGCUCGGAAAGGCGGUCGAAGCUCGUCCACGACCCUUCGACUGAACGGGGCAAGGGGGUUGCGACGCAGUCGACCAAGCGCCCUAGGACCACCUCUCCAGCGCCGACUGAAAAGGCGUCGAAGCAGCCCAGGGCGGCCUCGUCGAAGCCGAUCAAACUUUUGCCGAAGAUGUAGGUGUCCAUCCCUACCAUAUCAGGGUAACCGUGCUGCUCAUAUUUUCUUAUUCUGUGUGAACUUUAUUUCUGGUCGACGCUGAAGUUAGUCGACUGAUCCUUUGGAGUUGCAGUGCUGCUACUUCUGAAACUUCGGCCCGGGCCGAUGACCACGAGAUGGAGGAUGCGGCAACUUCGAACCCAGGUACUGUAUUCUUAACACCGUUUUUAGUCGACUGGCUCGCGACCUCUGAUCCUGAUUCUUCUUCGCAGCUCCGCCCCAUACUGUUAUCAAUCUCCCUGACGACGACGAGGAUGAAGAACCACUGGCACGCAGGAAGAGUCGGAAAACGCCUGCCAGCAAGGUGCCUCAGGAUGUGACGGCGCCUGAGACUCUGACUGUGGGGGAAGAGAACACCACUCGACACACGGUGUCUUUCGCAAAUCCGCUGACGAGUGCUCAGCAGCCCUCCCUCUUCACGACUCACCACGUCCCAGAGGACCAAGCUGGUGCAGCGAAGGAGGCAAUACGCCAGGCGGGACUCAUGAUGGAGCAGCUGAAGACCAUCCGAGACGCGAGCCAGGCAGCUUAUGACGCCAGCUCUGCCCUCCAAAGCAAUGUCCAGGUCAGUCGACCGCUGUUUGUUCUGUUGGAUAUGCUACCAAAAACUUUUCUUUUCCGGAAUUUAUAGUAAUCACCCAGUGGGUGUGUCGAAUACACUCCGUGUUAGCGGGGGCACGCUGAGUGCACCCGCUGGGUGUAGUCCCCAAGGCUAAGGUCGACUGCUGGCAGUCGGCCUUAGGCUUUAUGAUGUCAAUCUUUCUGCCAGUCGACUGGUCGACUGGAUUUCGCAAAACGGUGGGGGCACGCUGAGUGCACCCACUGGGUGUAGUCCCCGAGACUGUGGUCGACUGCUUGCAGUUGAUCACAGUCUUAGAGAAUGCAUCUCGCACACAUUUUUUUUUGAGGUCGACUGGUCGACUUUGUCUUCAACAGGAUUAGUGGGGGCACGCUGAGUGCACCCACUGGGUGUAGUCCCCGAGACUACGGUCGAAUGCUUGUAUUCGGCUGUAGUCUUAGAAACGUGUGUUUUUCCCUUUUUCACUCGGAAGUGAAUUAUAUUUGACAUUUAGUCGAUUGGUUCUUCGCAGGACUCUUGUGAUCUUGUGGCUCGCUACUCAGAGCUGGAACAAAAACAUACUCAAGUCGAGCUGAGCUUGAAGCUGGUUCAGGAGAAGCUGACAAAGGCAAAGGAGGAGACCGAAGGUAUGUUUGGUGAGACCCUGACGACUGUUUUUCCCUUUGCUUGUUUCAGCAUCUGAUCUUGCUGUAACUUGCAGGUAAGGUAAGGGAGGCCCAGCAGAAGAAAGACCUUGAGCUAGCUGAAAAGAUCAAGCUUGCUGACAAGAAGUUAGCUUCAGUCACCAAGCUCGAACAAGACAAUACCAAUCUGAAAACUGCUCUUGGGAUUGCCAACAAGGAGGUCAGUCGACUGAGAACUGACAAAGCUGAGCCCCCAAGUGAGAGGGUUGCUCUUCACUCGGUAGGAUUUUCACGACUUAGGCGAGUGCUUGGACUGCAGCUAAGCCCCCGAGUGAGAGGGUUGCUCUUCACUCGGUAGGAUUUUUAUAACUUAGGCGAGCACAGGGCUGCAGCUAAGCCCCCGAGUGAGAGGGUUGAUCUUCACUCGGUAGGAUUUUCACAACUUAGGCGAGUGCUUGGACUGCAGCUAAGCCCCCGAGUGAGAGGGUUGCUCUUCACUCGGUAGGAUUUUUAUAACUUAGGCGAAAUGGAUUCGCAGCUAAACCUCCGAGUGAGAAGAUUGCUCUUCACUCGGUAGGAUUUUGAUAAACUUAGGCGAAACGGAUUCGCAGCUAAACCCCCGAGUGGAAGGAUUGCUCUCCACUCGGUAGGAUUUUGAUAACUUAAGCGAGUGCUUGGACUGCAGCUAAGCCCCCGAGUGGAAGGCUGGCUUACCACUCGGUAGGAUUUUGAUAAACUUAGGCGAGUCCUUGGACUGCAGCUAAGCCCCCGAGUGGAAGGCUGGCUCACCACUCGGUAGGAUUUUGAUAACUUAGGCGAAACGGAUUCGCAGCUAAGCCUCCGAGUGGAAGGCUGGCUUACCACUCGGUAGGAUUUUCACAACUUAGGCGAGUGCUUGGACUGCAGCUAAGCCCCCGAGUGAGAGGGUUGCUCUUCACUCGGUAGGAUUUUUAUAACUUAGGCGAAAUGGAUUCGCAGCUAAGCCUCCGAGUGAGAAGAUUGCUCACUCGGUAGGAUUUUGAUAAACUUAGGCGAAACGGAUUCGCAGCUAAACCCCCGAGUGGAAGGAUUGCUCUCCACUAUUAUUUUGAGGUCCAUGAACUACAAAAGUAUUUUAUUGCAACUCAUCCGAGUGAUAAAACUUAAGUGUAGAAUGGGCGGAGUAGCUCUGCGUUCCAAGCUCGGGGCUCGUCGAUAUUAUGCUCGAUGUUGUAAAGACGGUACGCCCCGUUGUGGAGGACCUUGGUGACGAUGAAGGGGCCUUCCCAAGAAGGAGCAAGCUUGUGUGGUUUGUGCUGAUCCACUCGGAGAACCAAAUCCCCUUCCUGGAAGGCUCGACCUCUCACAUUUCAGGCGUGGAAACGGCGCAGAUCUUGUUGGUAGAUGGUCGACCGGAUCAGAGCCAUCUCCCUUUCUUCCUCCAAAAGGUCGACUGCGUCCUGCCGCGCUUGUUCAGCUUCUGCUUCGUUGUAGAUUUCAACUCGAGGAGCAUUGUGGAGAAGAUCACUCGGCAAGACUGCUUCAGCUCCGUAGACCAAGAAGAAUGGAGUUCUUCCGGUCGACCGAUUAGGCGUGGUCCGCAGUCCCCAGAGUACAGAUGGAAGUUCGUCGACCCAAGCUCCAGCCGCGUGUUUGAGAUCACGCAUCAGUCGAGGCUUCAGUCCCUUGAGAAUCAGUCCAUUAGCUCGCUCUGCUUGUCCAUUCGACUGCGGAUGGGCGACUGAUGCGUAGUCGACCCGUGUGCCCUAGGAGUUGCAGAAGGUUCUGAAUUCCUCUGAGUCAAAGUUUGACCCAUUAUCCGUAAUGAUGCUGUGCGGGACUCCAUAUCUGAAUAUUAGUUCCCUGAUGAAGCUAACAGCAGUACCGGUGUCAAGGCUCUUGAUUGGUUUAGCCUCGAUCCACUUGGUGAACUUGUCGACUGCCACCAGUACAUGCGUGAAGCCACUUCGUCCUGUUCUCAAAGGGCCGACCAGCCCCCAAACUGCAAAAGGCCAGACGAGUGGGAUGGUCUUCAAAGCUGACGCAGGUUUGUGCGACAUAUUCGAGUAGAACUGACAUCCCUCGCACUUAUCCACUAUCUCCUUUGCCAUCUCAUUCGCCUUGGGCCAGUAAAAUCCGGCUCGGUAUGCUUUGGCCACGAUGGUCCGAGAGGACGCAUGAUGACCACAGGUCCCCGAGUGAAUAUCAUUGAGGAUGAGUCGACCUUCUUCUGGUGUUAUGCACUUCUGACCGACUCCAGUCGCGCUUUCUCUGUAUAAUUGUCCUUUGAUGACGGUAAAGGCCUUAGAUCGACGGACGAUCUGUCGAGCCUCUUCCUCAUCCUCCGGAAGCUCUUUCCUCAAGAUAUAUGCGACAUACGGAAUCGUCCAGUCGGGAAUGACUACCAAAACCUCCAUGAUCAAGUCGACCACCGCUGGGACUUCAACUUCAGUCGGAUCUGUGGCACUCUUGGGCUGCGGAGUUUCUUCGGUGAAAGGAUCUUCUUUGACUGACGGAGUAUGUAUAUGCUCCAAGAACACACCACUCGGAAUGGCUUCUCUCUUGGAACCUAUCUUUGCUAGAUCAUCAGCUGCUUGAUUUUUCAGUCGGGGUAUAUGAUGGAGCUCCAACCCCUCGAACCUUUUCUCCAGCUUCCUCACUGCACUGCAGUAUCCAGUCAUGGCUGGGCUUCUCACGUCCCACUCUUUCAUCACCUGAUUGACCACUAAAUCCGAGUCGCCAUAGACCAUUAGGCGACGGACGCCGAGCGAAAUGGCCAUGCGCAACCCAUAUAGGAGGGCCUCAUAUUCUGCCUCAUUGUUGGAGGAAUCAAAGUGAAUCUGGAGCACAUAUCUGAGCUUAUCUCCUCUGGGGGAAACCAGGACAACCCCAGCACCGGAACCAUUCAACAUCUUAGAACCAUCGAAAAACAUGGUCCAAUGCUCCGAGUGAACUUCAGUCGGCUGCUGCUGUUCGAUCCACUCGGCGAGGAAAUCUGCUAUUGCCUGGGACUUAAUGGCUUUCUUUGCCUCAAACUUGAUAUCAAGGGGAAGAAGUUCAAUCGCCCAUUUGGCCACUCGACCAGUUGCAUCUCUGUUGUGCAAAAUCUCUGAUAGUGGAGCGUCGCUGACGACUGUGAUUGAAUGGUCAGAGAAAUAAUGAGCAACCUUCUUUGUGGUCAUGUAUAUUCCAUACACAAGCUUCUGAUAAUGAGGAUAUCUCUGCUUGGAUGGAGUCAAGACUUCAGACAAAUAAUACACUGGGCGCUGAACUUUGAGAGCUUUUCUUUCUUCUUCCCGCUCGACCGUUAGCACAGUACUGACGACUUGUCCUGUGGCUGCGAUGUAGAGCAACAAAGGCUCUUUGCUGAUUGGAGCAGCAAGCACCGGCUGGGUGGAGAGCAGAGCUUUUAGCUCGGCAAACGCUGCAUCAGCUUCUGGAGCCCACUCGAACUUGUCAGCCUUCUUCAUCAGUCGGUAAAGAGGCAAUGCCUUUUCACCGAGUCGUGAGAUGAAUCGACUUAAUGCGGCCAAGCAUCCAGUAAGCUUCUGGACAUCGUGCACUCGCACAGGGCGUUUCAUUCGGAGAAUAGUGCCAAUCUUUUCUGGGUUGGCGUCGAUUCCCCGUUCGGAAACGAGAAAACCGAGUAACUUGCCACCAGGAACUCCAAAUGUGCACUUUGAUGGAUUGAGCUUGAUAUCAUACCUUCUGAGGUUGGCAAAUGUUUCGGCGAGGUCAGCGAGCAGGUCGGAACCUUUUCGUGACUUGACAACAAUAUCAUCCAUAUAAGCUUCCACAUUCCGACUGAUUUGAGUGAGUAGACACUUCUGGAUCAUUCGCAUAAAUGUGGCUCCGGCAUUCUUGAGGCCGAAUGGCAUGGUGAUAUAGCAGAAGCACCCGAAUGGAGUGAUGAAAGCUGUUUUUACUUCAUCGGGCCCAUACAGACAGAUCUGGUGGUACCCGGAGUAAGCAUCUAAAAAAGACAACCUCUCGCAUCCCGCGGUCGAGUCAACAAUUUGAUCUAUGCGAGGGAGAGGAAAGUGAUCUUUCGGGCAGGCCCGGUUGAUGUGCUAAAAAUCAAUGCACAUUCGGAGCGACUUGUCCUUCUUAGGAACCAUGACGACAUUAGCGAGCCACUCGGAGUGGAAUAUCUCUCGGAUAAAUCCUGCCGCCAACAGUCGAGCCACUUCUUCACCGAUGGCCUUUCUCUUCUGGACGGUGGACCGCCGAAGAUGUUCUUUGACUGGCUUUGCAGACUUGUCGACUCUUAGGCGAUGCUCAGCCAGUCCCCUGGGAACACCUGGCAUGUCAGCGGGCUUCCAUGCAAAAAUGUCCCAGUUCUCACGGAGGAACUGGAUGAGCGCUUCUUCCUAUUUUGGGUCGAGUGUUGUGGAGAUGCGGGUCGGAGCUGCUUCGGGGUCGGUCGGGUGAAUGUGAACAGGCUUCGUCUCACCGGACGACUGGAAUGCAGAUUCUGUGGCGGGCUUCUUGGAUCGCAGCAAGUCACUCGGAUCUGCGUUUUGCUUGUAUUCUUCGAACUCGACCGCUGUCACUUGGGAAUCGGCAAUUUUGGAGCCCUUCUGAAAGCACUCCUCUGCCUUUUUCCUAUCACCGGUGACAGUGAUCACACCUUUGGGACCGGGCAUCUUCAAUUUGAGGUACACAUAACAUGGUCGAGCCAUGAACCGUGCAUAGGCUGGUCUCCCCAAAAUGGCAUGAUAUGCACUUUGAAAAUCCACGACCUCAAACGUCAAUUUUUCUUUGCGAAAAUGCUUUGAAUCGCCAAACACUACGUCCAAAGCUAUCUGGCCGAGUGACUCGGCCUUCUUCCCUGGUAUAACUCCAUGGAAGCUCAUGUUACUAGUGCUCAGUCGGGACAUCGGAAUGCCCAUACCUUUCAACGUGUCUGCAUAUAACAGAUUCAGCCCACUUCCACCGUCCAUCAGCACCUUUGUCAGUCGAGUGCCUUCGACAACUGGAUCGACCACCAAAGCUUGCCUCCCAGGGGUGGCAAUAUGAGUCGGGUGAUCAGAUUGGUCGAAUGUGAUGGGUGUUUGAGACCACUUCAGAUAAUUUGCCUUUGCUGGGGCAACCAUGUUAACCUCUCGGUUAAUCACUUUCAGUCGACUUCUGCUUUCCACAUCUGCGAAGAUCAUCAGAGUGGAGUUGAUAUGCGGAUAUCCUCCCUCACUAUCCUCUUUGUCUUCGGCCUUGUCCGGCUCCUUCUCCUUGUCCUUAGACUGUUUUCCCUGAAACUGUUGGAUCAGGAGUCGACAUUGGCGAGUGGUGUGCUUUGGGUAAAUGAUAUUCCCCUCUUCAUCUUUCUUCGUGUGAAUAUGACACGGCAUAUCCAUCACGUCGUUCCCUUCUUUAUCCUUUACCUUCUUGGGGUUCCAGGAUCCUUUUGGUUUCCCCUUAAACUUUCCUUGAGUCACGGCCAGAGCCUCUCCAGGAGCUGCCGGUUCAGCCUUCCGCUUCUGUUUCCGACUGGUGUUUCCUUUUUCCGACUGACUCGGCUUGUGCUUGCCGCUUCGGAGUCGGUCUUCUUCUUCGCCGUUGGCGUACUUGGUAGCAAUCUCCAUCAUCCGACUCAAGGUCAUGUCACCGGUUCGACCAAAUUUCAGACUCAGUUCUCUGUUCUUGACGCCGUCUUUGAAGGCGCAUACUGCCUGAUGAUCAGAGACAUUUUCCACAGUGUGGUGUAAAGUGAUCCACCUCUGAAUAUACUCUCUGAGAGUCUCAUUAGUUUUCUGCACGCAGACUUGCAACUCUGUCAAUCCCGCUGGUCGCUUGCAAGUCCCUUCAAACGUUCUGACGAACACUCGGGACAGAUCUUCCCAAGUGUAAAUGCUGCUAGGAGGUAAUUGAGUCAACCAUGCCCUGGCAGAACCUUCCAACAUGAGGGGCAAAUGCUUCAUGGCCACCUCGUCAUUCCCACCACCGAUCUGAACUGCCACUCGGUAGUCUUCAAGCCAAGUUUCAGGCUUAGACUCACCAGUGAACUUGCUGACUCCUGUCGCCAACCUGAAAUUGGGGGGGAUAACUGCGGCUCUGAUAGCUCUGCUGAAACAUUCAGGACCAGAAACAUGUACUCGACUGCUCGAGGGUACAUCUCUGUCGAGUGCGCCUCGAUGGGCUCUGUUCCGGUCGACCAACCCUUGCACGAUAAUGGAUCGCGUGUCGAAGCCUGGCUCUCUGGGGUCAACUGGAACCCUACGCCCAGUACUGUACUGACGCCUAUCAUCUGUCUGCCGAGGAGCGUAAGACCCACCCCUCGGAGGGGAAUAGGGCACUCGACGCCUAUCAUCUCGGUCGAGUCUGUCGCCAUAUUGAUCUCGCCGAUUCUCACGCCCUUCGCGCCGCGGAGGCGAUCUGGGGCUGUGAGCCGACUGAACCGUAUUCACAGUGACAGAUCGACUGUGAAUUCUGUUGCGCGACUGAGACACGGCUGAAUUCUGAUCUCCUGCUGCCCGGAGCAGAUCCCUGAUCUGCAGCAAACCUCUGCCAGCUUCCGACUGCGAAGGUUGAAUGGACUCUGCUAUACGGGUCGCAGCUGCUAAAUUCUGAAUUGGGGUUCGAUAUACCUGAGUCGGCGGGAAGAGUUGACGUCGACUGGUGUCAGGAACUCGUUGCCGCGCGCGCUCGUCAAGUGCUCGCUGAAGGUUCUCCAGUCGAGUGCGCUCGGCCAAAUUGGCCAGUCGCGCCUCCUCCAAGGCACGAGCCUCGGGGGUUUCUCCUGCGAUGGGAAUACGCAGGGGAUCCUCGUUCCUGCGGCGAAGCUCUUCUCUUUGCAGAGAGUCGAGUGGCUCGGGCUGAUACUCUUCGUAGCCUCGUGCAGGGUCGCCGCCGUCACCUGCUCCACCACCACGGGCGAAGCCAGGAGGGCUGUGGGGCCCGUCGACCAUCAAGAUUUCCGCCGCUGGAUCACUGCUUCCGCAUUCGGAUGUAGUCUCUCCGGAGCCAGUCGACUGAUCGAACAAGCCGUAGAGAGAUUCGUUGGGCUCGAUUGCCGCAACUUGUGUAGUGGCCGACUGGCGAGCCACCGCGUGACUCACCCAUCGCUGAAGCCUCGACCGGCCUGAGCGCUUGCGCUGGCGGGAGACCGGGAGGGUGGACGAUGGAGGAGCCGACCGAUACUGGGUUGACGGUUGCCGCAGCAGAACGCCGCGGACACAUGCUCGAAAAUGCGUCGCACCGCGGACGGGGAGCGCAUCUACGUCGAGUGGAGCCUCCUGGAGCCAUGCGGAGUCGUCGGCGAUGAAGGUGAGAGUGCCGAGACGGAUCUCUUGACCCUCGACCAAAACUCCAGCAGACACCAUGAUGAAAGUACUCGGAAGAAUCGCAACUUCUCCACAAAAUCGCUAAAACACCUGCCCCACGGUGGGCGCCAACUGUCGUGGUUCUAAGUCUGACAGUAGAGUGGGGGGUAGGUAUGAAGAGGCAAGGUCCUAGCUAUGGAGAGGUUGUAAGCACAAAGGAUGUACGAGUUCAGGCCCUUCUCGGAAGAAGUAACAACCCUACGCCUCGGAGCCCGGAGGCGGUCGAGUGGAUUAUGAGUGUAUGAAUUACAAGAUGCCGAACCCUUCUGCCUGUGGAGGGGGGUGGCUUAUAUAGAGUGCGCCAAGACCCCAACCAGCCCACGUAGGAGAGGGUUUAAGGUGAGUUAAGUCUGGGGCGUUACUGGUAACGCCCCACAUAAAGGCCUUUACUAUCAUAAAGUCUACUUGAUUACAGGCCGUUGCAGUGCAGAGUGCCUCUUGACCUCCUGGUGGUCGAGUGAGUCUUCGUGGUCGAGUCCUUCAGGCCAGUCGAGUGAAUCCUCGUUGGUCGACUGGAAGGCGACCUCUUCUAAGGAUGUCCUGGGGUAAGUUACUUGGAUCAGGUCUAUGACCCUACCCUAGGUACAUAACCCCAUCAACCCCCACGACAACAGUCGGGAUUCUUUCUCUCUGAUAUUUCAACCGUAUAUGGUGGACACUCCCUCACUGAUAUUUCACGGUCGGUGAUGGUCGCUCCCCCCCUUCUCUCAUGCAUUACCAAGGUAUAUCACGAGAAGAAGAGGAGGAAACAAUCCCCAAGACAACAGUCAGGAUCCUUCCUUCAAGAACAGACUGAAAGUCACACAAGGAGCCCCAACAGACUGAAAGUCAACCCGUUACAUAUAUGAAGUAAUGACAUAAAAAAUGGCCUAUGUUUUGCCGGAAUAUCGUUUAAUUCGUUCUGGCAAAUCACGGGCACUCGAUAUGUCCUACUUUCUAGCACAAAUCAUGCCAAAAUUCGCGAAAAACUUCGGCAUGACCUUUGCUAAAAAUAGGUCAUAUCGAGCACCUAAAAUUUGCCGGAAUGAAAAUGAAUCAACAUUCCGGCAAAACAUAGGCCACUCGGAGUUUUCGUGCAAAGAUAUGUGGCACCAACACUAUGUAAUGUACUAACACAGCAAAAAUGCACAAGUAGGUAUCUCUGCACGGCAUUUAUAAUGCUCAUUCAUAUGUACUAUCUCUGCACAGUACAAGAGCAGCAUCUACAACGUAAUCACUUAAGUAAAAAAAUUACAAAAACAAAACAUGAACAUCUGUUCAUUCUACAAAAUGAGCACCCACAACUCUAGGAGUAUUUUAAAAUGACCAUUUUAACUGAUCAUUUAGGUCAAACUCUGGGAGUAUUUUAACACUACUGCGUACUGACCAUUUUAACACUACGAGUAUUUUAAAAUGGCUGUUUUAACUGGUCAUUUAGUUCAAACUCUAGGAGUAUUUUAACACUACUGCUUACUACCAUUCUACCAAUUGGUUGCUCUGGAUGAGCUAAACAAUAAAAUUCUACCAAAAAAUUCAGUGGACAUGAUUACUAGCUAUGACCUAUCUACCAUUCUACCAAUUAUAAUUGUUUAGCAAAUUUGAAGCAGGUAAUCAUCUAAGCUAAGUUAGAUUGUUCCGGCAAAUCAUGGGCAAUAGCUAUCACCUAUCUAAAAUUAAUUUCAUCGACAUUAUCAUAGUUUUCUUAAUCAAAUGCCAUUUACUACAUGAUUAUGUUGAAAUGAUUUUUUUACAAAUUGUUCAUGAACUUGACACUUGUUAGUAGAUGUGAGGAGAACAGAGGGAGGAGGGGAGGGAGGGAGGAGCUAGCUCGGUGGAGGAGGAGCGGGGGCGCCGGCUGGCGACGACGGCGGCAGGCGACAACAAUGUUGGGGAGGAGAGGGGAGCGCGAGAGAGUGAGAGUGAUGAGGAAACAUACGUUCGGGUAGGGGAUAUGGUGCUUAGUAGUAGCGUGGGGCACAUGGCCCGCUAUAGUUAAGUCCAAUACAUGUAGCGCUUGUCCGCAGCCACGCGCUGCUGUUAAGAGGGGGCCACCGGCUGGCCUUGCGUAUCAAUAGUGGCAACGAUGGGUGCAAACCCCAUGCUACAACUAACAUGUUAGUUGUAGCGCGGGUAAUGUACCCCACGCUGCUACUAUGGCUCGACCCGGUGGGUACCGUGGGGGCCUCUUAAUAGCACCGCGGGUUACAUCAGCCCGCGCUACUACUACACCGUACCUGUAGCGUUGGGUUCUGACCCGCGCUACAACUACUUAAUAGUAGUGGGGGGCACUUACCCCUCGCCACUGUUAUUGGUCUACCUAUAAGGUUUUCCCUAGUAGUGAGAUGUUCCGGCAUCCUUGUAUGACAAUUUCCAUAACAAUCUUGGGAGGGAGCAACUAUUUAGCUAGAAGAAUGUCAUAAAAAACAGAGAUACCCAGCUUUUUCAAUGGAAUAAUACUUUUGCAGCAGUCUUGCGAGAAGUAGCAGACACAAAAAAGAUGUCUAGAGGUCUUUUCUGUGUGUUCAUUGUAGAAAACACACUCAUAACAAUCCAGGUGAAAGGAUUUUCUUUUUAACAGAUUCCUUGAGUUUACUCUAUUAUGCAAAGCCAUAAGAAAAUCUUAUGUCUGAGCCUGCUAGAGCAUUUCCAUAUCCAAUCGAAUAGAGUGUGCACCUCUUCUUGCGGGCAAAGAUUGUGGUACAUGGUGAUGGAAGGGUAUUUGGAUUUAUGUCUUUUGCAUUUCCAUUGGCCAUUGAUAUCAAUCUGUUGUUUCUGCUCAGUCAAAAGUUUUACCUCAAUAUACUGAAUGUGAGCUUGAGCUAUUAAAGGGGUGUGGAAGAACUGAGAGGGAUCCCGAGCUUCAAUCCAACUUGAUAAAGUUUGGUGUGCAUUGAUUGCAAAAGAGUGCAGUUUGGGGAGAAAAGUUAAUCUCCGAUGCACGGGAGGUACCGUGCAUGCAUGCGCAGUUGAUUUUGCUUGGAGAUCCGAUGUCAUGCAUUUAUGGUGCUCAGUUAGUUAGAUCUUUCUCUCACCACAUGCAAACAUACUGUACCACCUAUGCUCCACCAUCCCAUGCCUUUUCAUUUUAGUUUCAGGUUUAAAUCUAUUUUAUCUUUUGAAACCAAAGUACAUUUUAUGAUCCGUUUUCAUAUGUGUUUUUUUACGACGAGAUCUUUGAAAAGAGACCACUUUUGAAUAUAUUUCAGAAAAAAAUUAAAUUCUGAAACAUGGUGGAACACUAUAAAAGUACACAUAACUAUGCUAUGUUUCGUUAAACACUAUAAAAGUUCAAAGUUUUGUUGCAAUAAAAUAUAUUAAUAUUUACAAACUUUUAUACAUUACUAAGAAUCAGUUUGAUACACAUUGGCACACAAUGUGACAUUAUGAAAUGCAACGGGACAUGGGGAGCCAUAGUGGAACACUAAGAUUAUUUUUUGCGUGCAAUAAAACAUUGUUAAUUUUUUCACAUGAAAUUAAUAGAUUUGUAUGGAACAAGUUUGAAGCAUGGUGAUUUAGUUGUCAAAAAUAAUAAUUUCUGAAAAUAUAUUCAAUAUUGGUCUUGUUUUAAAGACCUUGUCAGGAAAAACACAAUUUUGCAAAUAGAAUAUAAAUCAAACUUUUAUUUCAACAUGCAUUAGGUAUCUAUUUAUUUGAAUGAAACUUAAUAAUACAUAAUAGCAUGUGAAUGUAUGUUAAGAUGAGAGAAAACACUAUAGAAGUGGUCCCACACAGCAAUAAAAAAUGUGAUGGAUGCAUGCAUGGGAGAUCCCGUGCAUGGUAGAAAAUCCUCUCUCGCAGUUGGGGGAACUUCUGCCACGAAACUACUACGCACACGAUGUUUUUUUGCACGAUAGAAAUCAAACGAUCUGGUCUUCCUUUGCCCAAAUGUUGUAGGGUCAGAUCACAAGUAUCGUCCACAUAUCGUGCAUGAAUUAUCGUCCAUAUAGCACUGCUCUUUCUGCCACAUAGGCUGGUCAUGCCAUUCAUCUUGCCAAAGAAGAGUUUAUUUCCCGACAAACACAAGGCGAUUGUUUGUGCCGUCCAAGAUCAGCUUUCUAGGGGAUGGCAUUGAUGUAGAGCUCCCGGGCUGAGUAAUCAGAAAUUUUCAUGAUUUUGUGUAAGAUCAAAGUUGAUGUCAGUGAUGUUAAUUCAAUUUGAUGAUGUGAGGUCCUUAUGGUCGGUACCAACCCUAGCAUAAUUUUCUCACCAUUUGGCCCUUCUAUCUCCUCACCAUGGUCAUAUGGACGUCGAUCGCCCUGUUGCAGCAUCGUCCUUAAAUGUUGGUACUCACGAGUUUACGCACAAGUGCAUACAAAUUUUCGCCUGGCAUUCUGCAGUUCUACCCUGUAAUUUAGAAGCACACUCGAUCCAAGUAGACGUGCGUUGGCGUGUACGUCAUGCUUGUAAUUUGAAAUGUUUGGCGCAAGUGGUAAUGCUGAGGCACUACGCGCGUCCCCACCAACUAUCGCGUACACCUGCUAAGUGCAUAGUUUUGUCUUGUCCGAUAGGUCCUUGGAGUUCUCGCUUGCCAUUAAUCUGUCCAAUGCAGUAGCAAAUUAUCUAGUAUCACCUUCCGCCCUCGAUGUCUGGCGUGAAUCUUCCAUAAUUCCCCUACUCUUCUUUAAUACCUAUAGUGGCAACGGAACUCUUCUUUAGUAUUACCGGUCUCGACAAAUCCGAGGGUUGAAGGAGAAGAGACAGAACAUGGUGGAGCUAGCAAAAGAAGUCGAUGGUUAUAGAACAUGGUGGAGUAUACCACAUGACAAGCUGUCCUUGCUGGUGUAUAUAUAGUUCAGUCGACUUGCUCAGUUCUCACUACCCUCACCUGUCAUCUCAGUGCUUCCACAUUCUAGUCACCCUAGCUAGUUUUGUCACUUGGAGUGUGUAUCAGUAGAUCGAGGCAGAAAUGGCCAGGCGGGACGACGACUCCGCUUACACGAAUGGAUCGGUGUCGGUGAACGAUUUCUCCGUGGAGGAUGGGAGGAAGGAGAAGGAUGUGUCUGCUGAUUACCACCCUGACCAGGACAUGGUCUGUGGCUUCCCCGUCUCUGUUUCUUUUCUUCAGAUGGUGAGCCUACUAUAUCUAUCUCGGUUGAUUCCUAUACCUCUCUCGAUGGAUGUACGUAUAUGAUUGUGUAUAUUCUGUUUACAUCCAAGAUCCAACCACUGUUUGACUACGCUGGCUUGUGCAUGUAGCUCCUCGCCGAGUUAUUCUCCACAUUCUUCUUGCUGUUCGCCGGCAUGGGCGCCAUCGUGGUGAACGAGGAGAAGCAGGGCGCGGUCACGUUCCCGGGCAUCACCGUGGUGUGGGGGAUGGCCGUCAUGGUCAUGGUCUACACCGUCGGCCACAUCUCCGGCGCCCACAUGAACCCCGCCGUCACGGUCGGCUUCGCCAUCGCCCACCGGUUCCCCUGGAAGCGGGUAAGCGCCACCACCAGAUUCGCCCCCUGAGGAGAGUGAACGACCUGCAGAUGACAUAUGUGAAUAUGUGCGCGCAGGUGCCGGCUUACAUGGUGGUGCAGAUGGUGGCCGCGCUGAUCGCGAGCUUUCUGCUGCGGCUGCUGUUCGGCGAGAAGCACGAGUUCGCGCCGGUGACGCUGCCCACGGGCUCCAACCUCCAGUCGCUCGUGGUGGAGUUCAUCACCACUUUCUACCUCGUCUUCGUCAUCAUGGCCGUGGCUACAGACGACCGAGCGGUAAGCUAGCUAGGCCGCCAUGCAUGCAUGCAUGCACCGACGAGAGACAUGCACGUGCAUGCAUACCUGCGCCCUACGUACUUACCAUCCAUUUCUCGUUUUUGUGCAGUCGGGGCAGAUGGCUGGGCUGGCUGUGGGCGCAACCAUCAUGCUUAACGCGCUAUUCUCUGGGUACGUACGCCUUGCUGCACUGUUGCUUAACUUUGCGGCAUGAUCAUUGAUCUGCCGCUUCAUUGAUGUUUACGCAUGCAUAUUUACCUACGUACGUGCGUGCGUUUGGUCGACCAUGACAGGCCGGUGACGGGAGCAUCGAUGAACCCGGCGAGGAGCAUCGGGCCAGCGCUGGUGUCGGGCAAGUUCAAGUCGCUCUGGGUGUACGUCCUCGGGCCGUUCGCCGGCGGGGCGGCCGGAGCUUGGGCUUACGGUCUCGUCCGCCACACCAGCAAGCCGCUGCGCGAGAUCACCAAGAGCACCGGCCGGGCUUAAUAAAUGAACUCGUACUAAAUUAAGAACCGUGCGGUAUACAUGUUCGGACCGAUCGACACGCCCAAGAGAGGACCAAUAAUUGGAGCUACGAGUGUAUGGUGUGGUUACUGUCUGAAAAACGAUGCAUUCCUAGCUAGUCUAGCAUAGCGUGUAUCGAUCUAUUUACAGAGGACGACGGAUAUACGAGCGAAUAAAUAGGCAUGUGCUUUUACUUGUUGCCUGGUUGGUAUGUAUGUGUAGUGAUUAUUGGCGAGGCGAUAAUCGAUAUGUGUGUAUCUUACUUUCAUAUAUGUGCACGUCCUUUUUCUUUUUAUUGUUGGCUUUAAGAUCUUUGCCGAUUCAAUAACUAGAACAGAGAUUUGUAACCCAUCUAAAAAACAGUUUGCUACAAGAGGUAAAAGCAGUCGAACAGAGUUGACUUUCUUUCCGGGCGCCUUUUACACAAAUGUAAUAUCGCAUCAAGAGAAUAUAAGCAUUACGAGCACAUAUUCAGCUCUACAUGCAUUAAAAUUACACAAAUGCACACACACAAAGAACGCGGAUAAAACAAUGAAUGUCCGAUCAAGCCAAUUCAAACAUGCAGCAUGAACCAUCAACAUCAAUAACCCCCUAUGAUAGCAUCCAGACAGAAAAAAUUGCUUUAACAAUGACGCCUCCAAAAAAGAAAUGGCACACAAGUGUUGCCAUCAUGGAUCAAUCCAUGGAGGCAUGAUCUUUGGUUUCACCUCAAAGAGGACGUCCAAGCAAAUUUCUAGACAAUGCCUCCAGCAAAGGAUGAUGUGGUCACUACCAUUGCGAAGUACAACCAAUGAAGACCAGGCCUAGACUUUUCACUCCGGAGCUCGAGACUAUGUACUCAAGAGCACCAUCAAAUUUUAAGGGAGCCGCUAGAAAUUAGACGUCUGAUUUUUAGCAUCCCAUCAAACUAGUCAUGCAUCGUACGGUUUGUUUGAUCUCAUACGUUCCAGAAAAGGGGGUCGGGCUCUCCUACUGGGUUCCCAGCACGCACUAUCAUGCAGGGCCAACCAGCGGGCAACACGUGUCUCGCUGGACCCCACCACUCAAUACAACGUUUUCCUUCUUUUAAUUUACUGAAAAUAAUUGUUUUUGCCUUAUCCCAGCGUACCGCUGCUGCCACUCAUUCCACUGUGAGGGAGGAUUCUGAGCAGGUAAAAUCCGCCAUUCAUGGCCGUGACCGGCGUCAAGACCGGAGCUGCUAGCGCCGUCCGUCUCCGACGCUCUUCUCUGCCCGGAGCUGUCACGGCUAGCCUCACCUGUUGCCGGUGCGCUUCUCCACCCGGAGCCGCGGGGUUGGAAGGUGGUAAGGCCAACUCCAUCGCACGACCCCAAAUCGUCCGGGUCUGUCCGUUUGAGGUAAAACGGACAAAUCAUACGUUCCAAUGCGCGACCUCAUCCUAAACAAACGUCUGUUUAUGGUCCGCCUCGGCCCAUCCUCGGAGCAAAGUUGGUCUAGGUUUGCGUCUCGAACGGACACGGGCGGACGAAUCUUGCGUCCUCCUGAUCCGGGCCGUGUCCUCUGCAUGUGACGCCUGACCCACCCGCCAUCCUCUCUCCUUAAUCUUCCAUGGCCCACCAUGCCCACCCACCACCUCUCUCUCCUCUGCUCCACACACCACCCAUGCCGGUGCACGCGGGCGUGGGAGUGCGGCGGGCACAUGGGCUAGCGGCGCGGCUGUCGGUGCGCGCAUGGGCGAGGCGAGGCCGCGAGCAGGCGGGCGCACGGGGUGGGGAGCAAGCNNNNNNNNNNNNNNNNNNNNNNNNNNNNNNNNNNNNNNNNNNNNNNNNNNNNNNNNNNNNNNNNNNNNNNNNNNNNNNNNNNNNNNNNNNNNNNNNNNNNNNNNNNNNNNNNNNNNNNNNNNNNNNNNNNNNNNNNNNNNNNNNNNNNNNNNNNNNNNNNNNNNNNNNNNNNNNNNNNNNNNNNNNNNNNNNNNNNNNNNNNNNNNNNNNNNNNNNNNNNNNNNNNNNNNNNNNNNNNNNNNNNNNNNNNNNNNNNNNNNNNNNNNNNNNNNNNNNNNNNNNNNNNNNNNNNNNNNNNNNNNNNNNNNNNNNNNNNNNNNNNNNNNNNNNNNNNNNNNNNNNNNNNNNNNNNNNNNNNNNNNNNNNNNNNNNNNNNNNNNNNNNNNNNNNNNNNNNNNNNNNNNNNNNNNNNNNNNNNNNNNNNNNNNNNNNNNNNNNNNNNNNNNNNNNNNNNNNNNNNNNNNNNNNNNNNNNNNNNNNNNNNNNNNNNNNNNNNNNNNNNNNNNNNNNNNNNNNNNNNNNNNNNNNNNNNNNNNNNNNNNNNNNNNNNNNNNNNNNNNNNNNNNNNNNNNNNNNCGAGCGGGCCGAGGCGAGGCGCGGGCGGGGUGUGGCAAGCUCGCCGGCGGCGAGGCAGGCACGGCGCGGCGGGUGCGGGGCCGAGCCGGCGUGGCGAGAGCACGAGCUCACGGGCGGGCGAGGCGCAGGCAUAGGUGCGCGACUGAGGUGGACAAUUUGGGUAUAGUAGCUGUGUUGGGCGCCUUCAAUCCCAGCCGGACAUGCGUAUCCGUUUUAGCAUCCAUUGCCACUCAAAAAGACAAAAAGCAGUCGAACCAGACGUUUGUUUGCAGUCGUGCGGUAGAGUUGGCCUAAGACAGAGUCGUCGCCGCUAGCUAGCGCCGCUUGCCUUCGGCACACUGAGUGGUCUGGGGUUGUUGUCUUAGCUGGAAGUAAGAUGGGAUCCGUCACGGCUAGCUCCGCUCACCUUAGUCGCAAUGUGCCACGCCCGGCCGUGGCCUUGGCUGGCGGCAAGACGGGGCCGUCGCAGCUAGUGCCGCCCACUUCCGACGCACCCAAUGGCAGGCCAAGGUUCUGGCUGACCCGCUCCUUGAAAAAUGGUGGAUGGUGGAGCUGCAACGCGUGCAGCCGGUGACCGAGAUUCCGCCGGAGAUUGCGCACUCGCAUUAGAAGAUGCGAACACAAUGCAAACUAAACAGUCAAAGAUAAAUGAUGAUUCAGUGCUUCAUCUACCUCUGUACUAGUAGCUAAUUAGUUCUCACCUAUUUACGUAUGCGAUCUAUUACUAGUAGCUUUGUACUAGUAGCUAUCUACCGAACUUUGAAGUAUGCGAGCUAUCUACUCUGCUUUUCAAUCGCACACACGGGAAAAUAACAAAUUGGUUAAAGUGCCUUUUAGUUAAUUUAGUGCCUAAGACCAUAUUUGACUGGAAAUCUAAACCUCAGUUACACAUAUAACAUAUCAAAGAGCAACUAAUCCAUAUUCAUGAAUAUAUCUUUAUUUGAGCAUAAAACCACUGUGCAUCUAACAUCAAAAGAAUUGGUAAGAUAAAUUAUUACAUCGCAAGGUAGUUUUUUUGUAGAGCAAUCCUGAUAUACAAAGUUUAUAUAGAGCUAUUUAAAAGUGUUUGUCUUGUAUGUGACUUGAUUGACUACCCAAGACUUGGAAGAACAAAGAAAUGAUUUCUUGUUAGAUAUAAACUUCAAUUGGGAAUAUGACUUAUAAGUGAACAAUACCUUAAUUGGCAGCUGGUCGUUUCUGAGAUGUUGGCCAUCCCUACCCCGCUAACAUUUGGGAACUCUAGAUACAAUGUUGGUCCAAAAGUCAAUACAAGUGAAUGACAUGUGCAUGUUCAUUUUAAUUUCUAGCGAAGUAAAAAAUCACAAGAUAUUCACAGUCCUAGUUUUAGUGAAACCUGAAAAGCACUUGAAGAUAGGUCAAAACAUUUUGCAAACAUCACACGGUAUUCACAGGAUUAAUAGCAAAAUAUUGAUAUUUUUCUUUGAUAUACAAUAAUCUCUUUCAUUAGAGUUGGCAAAAAAGAGAACAUGUCAAAGGAGAAGUUUGAUACAUUAAAAUUUAAAAUAAACUUAGGUGGUACUCUAUUAGUAGUGAACUUUGAUUCUGAUGUGUCUUUACUAAAUCAACUCAUGAUGCUGAUGUAUAAUUGCUCCCUCUUUUAUUUAAUUGUCCACGACUGCCAUAUACUGAUGGAUAAGAAGCAAAUAUGUGCACAUGAUUCAGAGUUGCCAACCUUAAGCAUAUUUUUAUAUCUGGACAGAAGUUGGGUAAUGAUAUAGCUAGUACUGAACCUAACAGGGCCAUGAGGGCACCCCUCUCCACGACCAAGAGACCAAGGAAGAAUACCCUGCCAUGGCGCAGGACUAGAAGGAAGCUUGGUCGUUUUCUUCAUCUUUACUAUUAAGCUGAACCUCGACCUGUCUGCACCAAGCUUGACUAUCUUCACCUUCACGCCUAGGUAGAGAGGAUGGGCAAGAAAGAACCUCCUGAUCCGAAAAAAACGGAUCGGAGAUCUCGCGCACAUCCCCAGCCACCACAAUCCGUCGGCGGCCUCCAGGAGGCUGGAUCUCGGGGAUGGCUGUGUCCGGGGCGGAGGGAGAUGGCUGGAGGCGGCAGGUGGUGCUCGGGGGGUGGCAUGAGAGCAGAGGGUGCGGUCGUGGCCACGGCGUUGUCACGCGCAUCCAUGCGCCGGCACAAGGUGAGACGUCCCUCGUCGGUCCUGGCCGCGGCGCUGGCCAAGGCGCCUCCUCCUUCUCACACCCAUACUCGCUCAUGCAGCCGGCGCGGCCGGUGGCAUCGGCGCGGCUGCCCGUAACUGCAGUGGUGAGCGCUGCCAGGAGUGUGUGUGCAACCACGGAGAUCCUAAUGCCGCACGUCUCAGCACUUUCUCGUACGUGGCCGCGGAGGUCACAACGAGAAACUGCAACGCCGAUGAUCUGGAUGCGGCCUUCGAAUCAGAUGUGAAGCCAGCGCUGGCAUGCGACUACGCCGGUGCUGCCGACAACGGCACAACUAUGGUGAAGGAUGGGUCAGCCUCGAGUGAGGUGGACAUGGAACAAUGCACAGGCGUCUAUGAUCGCAGUACCAGAGGCGACCAUGGACGAGGCAGAUUUGGACGAUGCUGCUUCGUUGUCGUGCGUCAAUAUGUCGGUGCCGGCGUCUCGGUGUGUGAGAGAGGUGAAGAUGAUGGUGCCAGCGUUCGUAGAGACGACGCCACGCACAACAUCGUCGGCAAUGGAUGCAUGGGUAGUCAUGGCGGCGGGGGCGGUGGCCUCCGUUGGUCACUGCGGUGGGGGUGGCGGCCCUCGAUAACCGCGAUAAGGAGAUCAGGUGGCACAACAGUGCAUAUUCAAGUGUGUCGGCAUAUUUGCAGGCAUAGCAGCGGUGGUCGUGUGCGGCACUCGAUGCCGGCUCAAAGAGGAUUCUCGUCCGGUGCGAGGGUGGCGGCCAUCGCACAAGGAUGCUCGAGGCGCGAGCGGCGGAGUCCUACGCUGAUGAGCAAGGGGCGCAGUGGUGGUUCCGCGUCGACUUCUAGCUCCGGAGCAGCAGCUCCGACUGUAUCAAGCAUGCUGCAAUGUGACUGGCGCCGGUGUGGAGUAGCAGCGGCCAGUUCCGCACCGAGACAUGGGCGCCCACCCGACGGCCGUGAAGGUGGGCGUGGAGUACUGACGAAGGCGACUAUAUAAUGAUCUAUCAUCAAGAUGCUGAUUGGAACACCGCUUCAUGUCCGGGGUGAAAAUUCUUGUCCUGACCAUUAUUGGUCGGGCUCAGCAACGACGAGGGUAUACCUUCUUGAAGACGUUGCUAUGGAAGAAGUCGACUUAGUCGUAUGUGUUAAUUUCAUAUCUUGUACUCUCCUGAAUAAUUAAUAAAAAUGGUUGUAUGCAUCGCAUUGAUGCAGAGGUCGGGGGUUUUAACCUCCUUUUCAAAAAAAAACAGGGCCAUGAGUAACUUUUGUCCUAGUUCCAUCUUGAGUGCCAGGAUUUUGCCCAUCGAUGCAUAGUGUGCGCAGCAUAGUAGAAGUGAUCAUCACUCGCAGAAAUAUUAUAGUCCAAUUCUGAAGGGUUAAUUUCCAUGUGUUUGAACACAAGAAACUGGGCCAUGGAAGAUGAAGUACGGGGAGCUAUUUCUGAAGGAUUAAUUUGCAUGUCAUAGAUAUUGAACUCUUUGUUUAUCUGUUUUAAUCUUAUCUCCUCCGUAUACAAGAGUGCUGAUAAUCUGUAUAUUCCAAGCGCAACAAGCCAACAAGGUACCUAUGGACAAUGAAGUGCGAGAAGCUCCUUCCAUGCUGAAGAAAUUUGUAGAUGUUGAUCCGCGGAGAGGGCAAUUUCUAUCGAUCCUGCCCUGUUUUCUUGUGAUCCAGGGGCAACAAUUGUUAAUGAAGUAGAUGGGUAGGAGAAAGGAUGUAGCCAUGAAGAGGUUUUGGCGACAAUCUGUUAUCACACGGGAAAGAAAAAAGAUUGUUUUACUGUAUUUCUAGAACGCAACUGCAACUAGAGAUACCUUGUGUUGUUUGAGUGGUGGGGUCCAGCGGCACGUGCUGGCAGCUGGUUGGCCCUACACGAUAGUGCAUGCUGGGAACCCAGCAGGAGAGCCCCACCCCAGAAAAGGUGUUUGGUUGGUUUACAUGCAACGAUUUACUUCCUCUGUUCCUAAAUAUAAGUCUUUUUAGAAAUUCUAUCAAGUGACUACAUACGGAGCAAAAUAGGUAAAUCUAUACUUUAAAAUAUAUCUACAUACAUUCAUAUGUUGCAUUCUAUUUGAAAUAUCUAAAAAAAAUUAUAUUUAGAAACGGAGGGAGUAUUAAUGAUGAUUUAUUCCGUAAUAACCACUCCCGCAAAUCUCUCUCAAAUCCAACUGCUAGGGCCCUGCAUUCUACGUACUUCUGUAUAUAGGAACAUAUUUUGUUUCCAGACGGUGAGAUUUAUUUCCAGUGCAAAUUAAUUCUGCUUCCUUCCAAGAAUAUUUUGUUUCCGAAGAUAGUGAGAUUGCUCCCAACAAGAUUAUUUUGAUCUACUAGUAUUUUCUUCCGACCGUGGAUUUUUUGCAUUAAAUUAUGUUUCCAAUGAUUUUUUUUCUUCCUACCAAUAUUGCUCCCAUUGAACUUUAUUUCACCUUUUUUUCCUGUCAUCAUCGCAUCCAACAGAGAAUAUAAUUUGCUUUCAAAGAAAAAAUAUUUUGCUUCUGUGACCUAUGAGAAUGCUUAGAAGAAAGAUAAAGAUGAUUAUUGAAGCAGAAACGUAGUAGGUUGUUGCUUCCAAUAGCUUUCACAUUUUUUUGGCUUCCAACCGAUGCACUUUAUGUCCUAAUGAGUGAGAAACAUAAUUUGACAAUUGUUUAAGCAGGAACAAAAAAAUACCGAAGCAUUUCCAUAGUUUUGUUUAAGAAUGAAGCAAACAUGUAGGAUACUCGGAAGCAUAUUGUACAAACGACGGAAACAUGUCACGUAUGAUACGGAAGCAUGUAUAGGGAACUAAACCAAAUGAUACAUAGCUACCCAGAAACCAAAUACAUAGAAGAGAGAAUUCCUUAUUUAACAUUGUCUUAAAAUUUGUUGCCUUAUUUGACACUGAAAACUUUUUUCUUCCUUAUAUAACACCGUGUCUAAAUUUUAUGCCUUUUAUGACACUUCCAUCCAUUUAAAGCCAUAACGGUGUUAAAUGACACCUGAAAAGACCUAUUUACCCCUCAUGUGAUAGAUGAUCUAAAUUUGUGUGUAUUCAGUGAUAGAGGGAACUGACACUUUCAAACUGCUUGUGCAGAGCGUCGCGGUAGGCAACGAGGCUGUGCCUCGGCUUCGACUGGACGCUGGCCGCUUGGCUCCUCUGGAUGAGAUGGAGUACAUCACAUAAGCAGCUGAGCAGUAUGUGUGUGCUCGUCGAUGCGGGAGGAUGGACUAAUGUGAGCGAUACGUGCGUGAGGAUGGGCUUGUGCGUGCAACAUUCGUGAAGAUGGUCCUACGGCAAGCUGCUGAUACAUGGCUGACCGGCACGCGGGUAUUUCAAUAUGUACGCGUACUUUCCGGCUACAGGCUAAUCAGACUGUACGGUUGUCGACACCCAAAAGCCACGAGCCCUUAGAUGCAUGCAGAUACUAGCACCAGGCCUGACUAGCACGUAAGAGUACGUGAGCAACCUAAUAUGUAUGUACGUGCAAAACUAAUCAAAGAUGAGCUACCGCAUGCAUGUACUAUUGUACUUAUGCAUGUUUGCUUCACUGUAUAUUCUGCAUUCAUUUUAUUUUUCAGUAAUUAAAUCUCUUUGGUACAAAAUCAACGUCGAACACCAUCCAAGUAAAGUCACAUAUUGAAGCUAAACAACAACGUAAAUUUUUGGUCACAUACCCUAUGAGCGGCAAAUUGGUCUUUUCAGUUGUCAUUUGACACCGUUAAGGCUUAAAAUGGAUGAAAGUGUUAUAAAGGGCAUAAAAUUUAGACAUGGUGUCAUAUAAGGAAGAAAAAAGUUUUUCAGUGUCAAAUAAGAAAAUAAUAUUUAAAACAGUGUUAUAUAAGGAAUUUUCUCUACAUACAACCCUGAAGCAUUGCAUAUGCAACAACGAAUCACGAUAUUCCCACUCUUGCAUGUGUGGUCAAUCAGUCAAGGAGUCUGUUGCAUCAUUGACAGGAAGCAUCAGAAAUGAUGCCGAGGCAUCGUUCGGAGCAACGUGUCCGAGGAGAAGCACAUGGCGAGGUCACGGCUGCGUAGAUUCCACUAUGAGCAGCAUGCAGGAGGGUCGAUUACUCAGCGUCGCUACAGCAAAGGGUCAACAUUCCGAUGAGAUCGGAUCAGCGACCACCUCCUUGUCAUGCUCCUCGUCCCAUCUUCGGUAAUAUUCAUAUUAGCGAAAUGAGAUCUGCCGUUACAUUGGACUCUUGCACGCCUCGCCAGCACCACCAAAGGAAGACGGUAUGGCACAACACGGUACCAGAGCAUCCCCUGCUCGAUCCAGUGACCUCCGCCUGAAAAGACCCUGCACCUUAAGGCAAAACACUUCCCGGCGGUAGGAGCAUGCAUGCAUGUUCUGGAGCAAUGAUCUUUACAUCUGUACACCUAAGAAGCAUGCCAAAGAGUGAAGUUCCAUCUGGGCCAGAAGCAUGGAAGAAGCAUAUGCACGUAAGAAGCAUGGAUGAUCUGAAGCAAUAAUUCUUUUCUAUCACAACAUAAGUGAGACAUACUGGAAGCACAUAAAUUUGACUGGAAGCAACUAAUAAAUAUUUGAAAAAUGCAAGAUAGCAUCCAUGCCGCUGAUAGCCAGAUGCAGAAAUUUGUUAUCUUAAAGAAAACUAACCUAGUUGUGUGUUUUGUGAACUUAUAUCAAAUCAAAAUGCGAUAAAUAGGAUGGGAUCAACACAUGUCAAUUGGUAUAAAAUACACUCUAACCGGGUCAUAUUUGCACUACAUAUUCGUUCCCAUUUGUUCAGAUAUUAUAGCUAUAUUGUGGAACCUGUACAUCGUGAUUGCAAAGAAAUCAAAACCCAUCAACAAGUUGAGGUUGUGACUUGUUAGCCUUGGCUUGGUAGAUCUGUGCGUACAUGCUACUGCUGAGAUGACGAAACGAGUCGCCGCUGCUGAGAUGGGCAGGCGUAGGAUGCGAUCUGCCGCCACAGUUACCCCGCAGCCGCUUACUGAUGACGUGAACUGCCGCUGAUGGUUGGACUCAAGGGCGCAGAUUGAGGUGGAGGGAGAUGGGCAAAGAUGCAUGCAGCCGACGAGGAUGGAGGGCAGCAUGAUGUUUUGUGUUUUUGACCCUUUUUUAAAACUUAUUUGAGAUCUGACCCUAGUUUGAAAAAAAAUCAAGAUCGGACCCUUUUGCUACCACCAAGGUCCAUGGUGGUAGGGUGUAACAGCCUACCGCCAGGGACCUUGACGAUAAAAAACAUCCCUACCGCCAAACAUACUGGCGGUAGCCUGUACAACCCUACCGCCAAGGUGCUUGGUGGUAGGCACGAGCACGCACCGUGUUCAGCACUUAGGAGAAUUUUGCGGUAGGGCAUGCAACCCUAUCGCCAGGGACCUUGGCGGUAGGCUGUUAGACCCUACCGCCAUGAACCUUGACGGUAGCAAAAAAGCCAGAUCUCAAAAUUUUAUCAGACUAGGAUCAGAUUUCGAAUAGAUAUCAGAAAAGGGUCAAAACACGAAAUUUAGCCGCAUGCUGUAGGAGGACGCAACGAGCCAUCCGAAACUUCCGCUGCGCCCAAUAAUGAUUAGCGGUUUGCGUGGGUCUUGCCUGGAUUUGUGGGCAAAAAGAGAAGGUUGGGAGUGUUGGAUGGAAAAUCAAUCAACGGUUCUGGACCAGUCUGACGGAUUAGACAAUAUCAGACGAUAGAGGGGAAGUGUUUCCCAAAUUUUAAAGUCACUGCUGCAAGCCGAACCGUCAGUUCGAUAGCCGUACACGCUCACAUUCGUGGCAUGGAUAUUGUAAUGCAACGGACAUACCACAUACUCCCUCCGUCCGUGAAUAAGUGUACAUCUAGUUUUUGUCUUAAGUCAAGGUUUUAAAACUUUGACCAACUUUAUAGGAAAAAGUAACAACAUUUAUGGCAUUAAAUUAGAAUCACUAGAUUCAUUUUGAAAUGUAGUUUCAUAAAUUACCAAUUUGAUGUCAUAUAUGCUACUACUAUUUUCUACAAAGUUGGUCAUAUAUGCGGAGCAAAUUAGAGCAGCCACGUCAACAUCAACAAGGCCACUAACACCUCCAAAAGCCUACUGAAGGGGCCAUCCAACAAUGCCAAUUCUUUGACAAUGGUAAGACAUAGGCUGUAGACAUAAAGUCAUUCCUGGCUCCUGCCACCAAGGACCCAUAUGGGACCAUUCGAAAACUCUGCCACAUCUUCAGUAAAGUCAACCAGCAGCGGUCCAAAACUCCGUCCAAAACACUCCAUUGAGCAUUCUGGUAGGUAGAUCUAGUAGGGAGGCCUCAUCUGGGCCCGAUCACCCGCCGUCCACCCCCAUUUGCAAUGCUCGUGACAUCCAAUCGACGUGCGCUUCCAUGUGCCACAUUCAUGUCCACGAUCCAUGCACCACGCUUGCCACCACUGCAAAGGACAAACCCGAUCGCCCAACUAGGAUGAUAGCCACCACAUAGGCCAAAUCUGAGUCGGCAUCCCCGUUGCAGCCGCCGCCGCCGCACACGAAUCCACUGCACGCACAUUUGGUGGAGAUGGCCAACCACCUACAGCUGCAAUGACAAAGAGUGUUUUCACGAGUUGUCCUAGGGCCACCGCACCGGCAUCGAGCCUGCGACGCACGCACACCAGAUCCAAAUGUAGCAACAUGUCCAUGUCACUGCUCUAGGAAGCAGUUAAGGUCCACUACUACUGUACAAAUUAGUGGAUUUAGGAUGAAAAAGAUGAUGGGAUCAAAAGUUAAGACACUAAUAUGGUUCAUUGAAUUUAAAAUUUAAAUAUCAUAUCAAAUAUGAUGAAUUUCUUGAAAUUUCUCACUCCUAAUAUUAAUCAUGAAAGUUGGAAGGUGCGACAUAACAACAACACAUCAGCCAUGUUUUUUUAUAAUAUAUUUUCCAAGCUAGAAAUAUAAGGCUUUCCAUUUUGCUAGAUAUACCUUCGCCUAACAACGAGUCGAAAACUAGUUUCAACAAGUCAAUUUUUUACUAGUACUCAUAUCCCUCCCUCCGCUCGGCUCCCAUAUAGGGCCACUUCUUUUUUGGCUUCUAGGCGACUUAGCUAUAAAACUAAGCCGAAGCUCAACUCGGUUUUGUAGGUUGGACUUAAUUGCUAGUCACCUUUGCUCCUUCAUAGUGGAGAGAUUGGCAACUUUGCUUUGCUUCCGAUUCGUAUUGCUAUGAUGAUGUUUGAACUAAAUCGUUCUUUGUAGCUGGUAGGAGGGUUGACAUAAUCAACAUUUCAAAUUAAUUACUAAUGAUUAAUUUCAUGAUGUUUGAACUGAAUCGAUCUUUUUAUUGUGACAUUUAGCAUUUUAGAUUGUUCAGAAAUCAGUUUCAUGUUCAUAUUAAUUAUGGGGGCACUGUAGACUUUUCAUCGGGCAAAUCCGAUAAUAAGCUCAUUUUUUUCUGAGAAAACAAUAAGCUCAAAUGACCUAAGCCAAAAUGUACUGGAGUGUGGUUUCCCUAGCCAGCUGUGGAAAAGCUUUUUUUUUAGAAUCAGCUGUGGAAAAGCUUUUUUUUUUAGAAUCAGCUGUGGAAAAGCUUUUUUUUAGAAUCAGCUGUGGAAGCUGGUUCUGCACAGGCAGCAGCCCGAAAGAACUGGCCCAUAGUAGCAGGUUGUGUUGCCAUUCUUUUCUUUAAGGGAAAUGUUUGCCCUUCUAUUCGGGAGAGCCUAUACGGCGCUUCAACCGCCACAAACGCGAGAUGGCGCUCACAUGGGUGUAGACGAGCCGCGGCCAAGCGGCGCUUGGUCGCUGGGUCGCCCGGCUCGUCCCGCUCGACCGCUAAGUCGCACUCUCGGUUGCCCUCACACGCCCUGCUGACUCGCUCGCACAUCGUCUUUCUUGGUCUGCCCUCGCACGUUGGUACAUGUUUUUCUAGUUUUCGAUGUUGCUUUGCUUUCGGGGUUUUUUCUCAAAAACAUUUUUGAAAUAAAAAAUCUUGGAUUUUAUAAAAAUACAAAUUUUAUAAACUACUCUUUCAUUUGAAAUCCAUGGACUAAAAAAUCAUGAAUUCCAAAAAUGAUGAAAAAUUUCAAAAAAGUUCAUGAAUUUGCAGGAAAAUUUUACCAAUUGAAAAGGUUUGCGAAUUCCAAAAAAAUUAGAAUUUGAGAAAAAAUCAUGAAUUAUAAUUUUUGUUAAGAAUUUGAAUUUUUUUAUGUAUUUGAAUAAUUUCAUGAAUUUGAAAACAGUUCAUGAGUUUGAAAAAACAUUCGCAGAUUUAAAAAACGUUCAUUGAUUUGAAAAAAGUGCAAGAACAUGAGAAAAGUUUGUGAGUUUAAAAAAGUACAUGAUUUUUUUGUGUAUUCGAGGAAAGUUCAUGAAUUUGAAAAAAAAUCAUGAGUUUGAAAAAAGUUCACGGAUUUCAAAAACGUUCAUGGAUUUAAAAACAGUUCACGAUUUUGAGAAGGUUCACAGAGUAGAGGAACGUUCGUGAAUUUGAAAAAACUUCAUGACUUUGAAAAAAGUUUGCGGAUUUGAAAAGCAUUCAUUAUUUUGAACAAGUUCACAAAUUGAAAAGGUUCACGCAUUUCAAAAAAAAUCAUAAAUUUUUAAAAGGUUGACAAAAUUUAAAGAGUGUAUGAAUAUGAAAAAGGUUUGCAAGUUCACAAAUUCCAAGUUGAAAAAAGCUCACACAUUUAAAGAAAGACGAGUAAAGAAAAAAAACAAAAAAGGAAAGGAAGCACGAAAGAAUUAACCUAAACCCGUUCUGAUAAAACCAUAGAAAACCGCCCCCAAAAAGCUCGGUGGGAACCUUCUAGAAGGUUCCCAAAACCAGGGGACCCCUCGCUAGCCCAUAAGAAACCUGUGUUGUAAGCACUAAAUAGGAAUCGUGAUUCUACUAUGAAGAGCUCCUCGUUUGCACCUUCAGCGGCACGAAGAAUAGCUCGUUCGUGUGCUCCCCCUAGUUGGUUCGUGGCCUGUAUAGCUCCUGACCGCUGCUCUCGCUCUUCUUGACUUUGAGAACUAAUCAUUUGAUCCAUCUCUGCUCGCUAGUGAAUUUUUUUCUCUUGCAAGCAUGUACUAUGAAAAAGUUAUUCAGAAAAAAAAAUCAAGAAUUUGAAAAGGUUCACCAAUUUGAAAAAUAUAUUGAAUUUGAAAAAUGUUCACAACAAUUUAAUAGUUCACAAUUUUUAGAAAAUGCCACGGAUUACAAAAUUGGUUCGAGAGUAAAAGAAAAUGAAAUGGAAAAAGUCCAUCGAUUUUGAAAAAAUAUCAUUCAAUUGAAAAUGUUCGUCUAUUUUGGAAAACAAUUCUUGGAUUUGAAAAAAUUAACUAAUAUUUUAAAAAAGUUUACGGAUCUGAAAAAGGUUAAUCGAUUUUGAUAAAAAGUUCACGGAUUUACAAAAAAAUCUUUGAUUUUGAAAAAAUGUCCAUGGAUUUGACAAAGUUUGCAGAAUUUGAAAAAUAGUUCGCUAGAAAAGUUGCAAAAGAUUGAAAAACAAUCACAGAUUUGAAAAAAAGAUCAUGAAAUUUGGAAAAAGUUCACUAGAGUUGCAAAAAAACUGAAAAUAAGUGUUCAGGGGUUUGAAAAAAGUUCAUACAUUUACAAAGAAAACUAAAAGUAGGAAAAAGAAAGAAAAACAAAAAAAAACAAAGAAAAA